UUUUUUUUUUUUUUUUUUGCAAUUCAAGAAAAUGAGAAGGAUAAAUAUUCAAGACCAGAUGUAGCCAAUUGGUAUGGCUUUUUAUCCCAUCUUAGAAUGAAUGAAGGAUCGUUGGUAUGGCUUCUAGGGGUGAUGCUGAACCAAAUAGUUUGACUCGAUCUUGUAAGUUGCUCGGUCAACAGCUCGACUUGAGCUCAUUUUGAUCGAGCUCGAGCUCCACUCAUUUGAUCUCACGAGUUGAGCUUGAAUCCCAAUAUUUUAUACUCAGAAGGCUCGACGAGCCUAAUCGAGCUUUUUAUAAUAAAUAUAUUUUUAAAUUUUUGUAUUUAUUAUUAUGAAAUAUCAAUUAUGUCCAUUAUUUAAAAUUAUAUGUAUAAUAUUAAUUUUUAUUACGUGAGGUUGAUUUGACUCGAAUAGACUCGAUUAAGUUCAAUUACACUCGAAUAGGCUCGAUUGAACUUACUUUGACUCGAUUAGAUUUAAUUAAACUCGAAAUCGAGUAACAUAAACUGAAGUCGAGUUCGAACUCGAGUUUAGUUAUUUUACCUCUAGUCCAGCUCGAGCAGUGCACAAUUUGAUAUCGACUCGACUUGAAUACACCCCUAAUGGCUUCUAGCAUUCCAAGCUCUCUUUGUCCUCGGCCUUCCAGAAAAAUAUGAAACAAGAUAACUUCGCCCAUUAAUACAAAUUUUAAUAAAAUUACGAUGUUUUUAUCAAAAAGGAUAAACUAAGCAUAGACAAGAAAGUCUUGCCAGCUUAAACUUUAGACUCUCAAAGUUUACUAUUGCUAAUAAAAGAGGGAUCCCUAUGAAAGUUCUUUUCUCUGAUUUGAUUGCUUCCAAAUCCUAGCGUCUUUUGUUUGACAAGCACUAAAAAUUAAUCCUCCUCAUGCAACAGUAAACAUCCAUUAUUUCCUUAAAUAAAGUACUCAAGAGCAAUUGAUUGUAUAAGUUCCUUUUAACUUCACUUUUGGGACGCCUGCUAGCAAAAGUUGAAGAAGUCCUAUUAUCCCAUUACAUGUGACUUAAUAAUAAUUUUAUGACUUGCCUUAUAAAUUCCAUAUACAAUUUUGGUAACUAGGGAUCCACAGACAGUACCUGCAAAGGAGGCUCUCGUUUCUCUUAAGAAUUUAAAAGCAUAACCUUAAGAAAGAGAUCAACAACAACGACAUUAAUUAGUGCUCCAGUCUGCACUAACCUAUAGGUUUUGUUUAUUCUCUUUCCGUAAAGUCCAUAGGCUUUUUUUUUCGUAUAGGUGGGAGGUCUUGAAUUUAGGACAUUUUACUUGUAAUAUCUCCCACCUUAUCAUCCAAACGAUUAUUGAAUGUUUAAUUUAAUUUGGAUAUUACACGUGACUAUUGAAUGAUUAGAAAUAGGGAAACAAAUCUUUACAUGAUCAUAAUCUGCUAAACUGGCACAGUAAAUUCUUCAUCAAUCGUCAGAUCUUUAUUUCUUUCUCCUGAUUUGUAUUCCCACUUCAACAAUUUUCUGCGUUUUCGAGCUUCUGUCUAGCCUGAAUGCACCACCAUUCAACUACGCGGUACUUAUUGGCAGGCAGCCAGUUAUUAUACAUAGAUUCAUAUCAUGGCAAUCCUCGAAGAGGACAGUGGCAACCAAAUUAGCAUCAAAUCGUCUCAAAUUAAGGCCAAAGAAUUAGAACAUUUUAUGGUCAAAACUCAAACCACCAAAGGAGCAUUUGUUACUGGGCAACCAAUUGAAUUUGAAUCGGAAAAGAAAACUAUUUGUAUUCAUGCAUGAAAGCUCUGCUGGAGUUGUAAUCAUUAGCCUUUUCUCCUUUGAUCAAUCAUAAUAAUAAGCUACAGAAACCAAACUAUAGAGCAAAGUAAUAGUGCUGAUAUUUUUAGGUAGACAAGCUUUCCAAUUACCCCUUUUCUAGCCCAACCUUUUACUCCUGUUCUUACAUUCUAAACAAAGAGAAUAAAGAAUUACUAGAUCCUUUUUACUAAGGAGAAGUAUAAAACUAUAUAUAUAUAUUUUUUUUUAAUUUUGUCAUCGAUCCAUAGUGCUUAGAGCCAUAAUCUUUCUUUGUGAUCUUUAACACUAGAAUAUUGCUGAUUGAAAGACAAACACUUGUGAAUUGCAACUUUGCAACUGAAUUGUUUGGGGGCGUUUAAAGUCCAUCAUAAAUAGUAUGACCCCUCCCAAAAGACAAAAGGUGACAAUGGAGAGUGUAUAUGCAAUGAGAAAGUCAACAGGGGCUCCAACAACCAGAGUAAAAGAACUCUUUUACUGGUCUCUUUUGACUGUAAAUACCAUCUUGUAAUGCUUAACUAUCAUUACAUUUUGUUCUGUUUAGGGACUAGAAGACCAACUAGGGUAAUCUUUUCUGCAUUAUGACACAUGAGAGAAAAAAAAGUGGUCCUACAUUGAUGGACUGAUAUCUCUGUGCAAAUGAUUUUCAUUUUUUUUUCCAUAGAAGAGUUGGAAAAUGUAAAAUUUGAAUGGCUUCUGGCACAGUUAGUAACCUUAAUAUCGAAAGCAAUAAGAUCAGUCUCCAAUGGACCAAUACUAGCGAGUUCUUUUUUUUUUUAAGAAAAAAGUUUGGAUGAGCUCCGGUCUAAUGACUAUUAUAGGUUAAAACAUGCAUCCGAGAAUACAAAUCGCCCACCAAUUUGAUGAUGGUUCGUUUCUUACCAACUGAAUCAAUUUAUAUUGACUAUACUAGCAAUUAAACUGAAUUCUAUCAUCGUACGGUACCAUCAACUUUUUUUUUUGUUUUCAUUCUUUUGUACCAAGAGCUUCAGUUAACAGCUUAAUUAGGUAAUCAAACAAAUCCAUUAAUAAUGAGAACAGCCGAAAUAUACAUACAAAGAAUAAAGACUUGAAACAUUUCGACCAACUCGUUUUGACAUAAGAGCUGCAAUAUUGCAUAUCUCGAAUAAUGGGGAGGGAGGGAGACAGCAUGAAGAGCUGUCGUUUGAUCAUGUUCAUGCUGUCGUUCUGUGUCUAACUUGGGUUUAUUAUCUUGAGGCUGACACCGUCGCAGCCAUGCACCAAAUGUCUAGAAUUCGAGGUCCGACCAAACCAUAGUUUUUUGUGUGAACGUUUUAUGGUUACAGAAUGGCAUUUUUUAGACUGUAUUGUUAUCUUUAGGAGAGGAGGAAACCCUAUGUAGAGAAACAUUCAGGACAUGAACCGUCUUAAGUACAUGUACGAAGCUUUACUGUAAUGUUUUUCAUGCAAUCCUGUUAUUGUCGGUGAGAAGAAAACCUUUACGCUCAAGCUAUGUAGGUCUGACCUUUUUUUUUCCUCUCCUUUUGUCAUCUAUUAAAAAAAAUCAAACAUCCAUGAUUGGCUAUUUGUUCUUUUCAUAAUGAAAUAAUUCACAAUAUUUUUCUUAAUUCAUUUUUGAGAAGUGGAAGACAAAGGAGAAGAGAAUGGUAGCAUUGAGAACUUGAUCCUUGGCUAGGCUGAAAAAAAAAUACCUUUCCCUAAGAUAUAAUUUUAUUGGGUUUGGAAUGUUAAACUUUGAAUUUUUUGUUUUUCAUGCAACGAUGACCUUCGCUAGGUCAAUAUUAUUAAGGGUUGUGUUUUCAUAAAUCUUAGUAAUAGUUAUUAUUUAUACAACAAAAGUACCAAAAUAAAUUGCUAGAGUUACUUCCCAAUUUUUUUUAGGAGAUAGUACAGAGAGUAGUUAAAAUCUACCUAAAAAACUGCAUUAAUUGUUUCACUUUGCAAUUGUCUACAUAUUUCCAACGCGUUUGAAUGUAAUAUUAUUUGAAAUAAUUAUUAUUACACUUUUUAUGAUGUGAUGUAUGUGAAAUAAAAAAAAGAACUUGAAAUAUAAAAAAAUGCUUUAAAAAUAUGUUUAUGAUAUAAGAAAAAUAAUAUUUGAGAAAAUAUUUGUAUCCAAAUACACACAAACUUUGUCAAAGCUUUGUGGCAUGUUCUCUACUUAUUCAAAAAAAAGCAAGUUUCUUGUAACUUCUUAUUUUAGUUUUUUCUCUUUUAGUUUAAUAAAAGUCAAUAGCUAAAAUAAAAUGCACAUAUAUUUGAGAAAGAGAAAAAGCAAAUAAAUGAAGAAAAAAUCUCAAAGUAACGUAUAAUAUAUAUUCAUACAAAUUCAAAUGAGCAAUUCAUCUUGUUUUCAUCGAAAAAAAAAAGGUUCAUUGUUUACUGAAUUCUAAGUAGACAAUUCAACAUCUACCAUUAAUUUGGCCCGUUUUUGUUUAGUUUAGUUGAAUGCCGAUAAGAACGGCCGCACCCAAUCUGUCUAUCUUUUUAGCUUAGCCGAAAAACUUUUGACUCCUUUUGACUUUCCUGCAUUCGUGGUCGAGAAGUAUAUACCUUAAAAAAAUAAAUGAUUAAUCUUUUCAGACAAUGUAUAUAUUGUUAGCAUUGUAUGAAUGAUAAUUAUACAAAAUUUAAAUUUAAAAUUUAAUUUUUAUGCACAUGUCAUGAAUCAAACGAUAAUAGUGUAUAUACUGUCAGUGUAUAUAAAAUUUACUAAAAAAUAAACUAGUUUUAAUGAAAUGUUCACGCCUUUGUAUGCAACAAACUAAUCUCAAAUCCUCCUUCCAAAUAAAUAAAUAAACAAUAAAGUUCAAAAUGUUUAAGGGAAAUUUUGAAAUAAAAGACUUCUAAUGCUUGGACAACAUUUACUAUACUUUGUUUUAUGAGCAUGAAAAUCAAUAGCUGAUUUAUUUUGCGAGUAUUCAGUAUUGGUGAUUUAAAAAUUUCACAAGUUCAGUGACGAGAAAAUUUUAUAUUCAUUUUCCAAGAAAAUCACCUUGAUUUGGGUUUUUCAAUUCCAUGAUCUUAAGAGGAAAAAUUACAUGUACACAAAAUAUAAGGAAGAGUAAGAAGAAAGAAAAAAAAAAAAUUAACCAAAGUACUAAAGGAAUAGUAAGAAGAAAGAAAAGAUUGAAUGUUGAACAAAUGAAUUAUGAAUUGACAAAUAUAAGGGAAAUAUACCUUGAAAAAUAUGCAAUAAGAAACUCGAAAUGCCAACUCCAACUGCUCUCGGGUUUCACAUGACCCUCUUAAAUUUGUAAUUGCUUUAAUCCACCCAUAACCAUUUAAAAUUCGUUUUAAGAGAAUAAAACAUGGCAACGAAUCCUCAGAUAUGUCAAGAAAUAAUUUUUGGUAAUUAUGUAUUUUUCAAGUGUUCAUAUUACGCUACUACACAUCUCUUGGAUUGUCCGAAUGUUAGCUUUAAAAAAAAAGAAAAAGAAAAGAACCUGCAAUCAAAAGAAUUGGCGUACUAUUAUAGAUUCAAUUUAUUUUGUCUUGUAUGCUUAUUUUAGCUAUCUCUUUCUUCCAAAUGUGCUUAAAAACGUUUCAAAAUGCAAAAUCUAAUACUGGUUGAAGAAGACGUCAAAAAAAAAAAAAAAAAAAGAGACGGAAAGAGGAUUAACUCUUGUAAAGUAAAACCCUUGUUUGGAUUGUAGUUUAACAAAAAAUUUACAUUUUCGGUGAACAUAUUUUUUAGUCAUUUUUUUUACUUCAAAUAUAUCAAAUUACUACAGUAUAUCUAUUGACAAACAUUUCAAAAAAUAGCAAUGCAAAUGAGAAUUACUUUGGAGCCGAAUAAAAAAUGAUGCAUGAACAUAUCUGCAAGAUAAAUAUUAGAAUUGGAUGGUGUUAUUUAAUUUGGGUAUAUUUUGUCUGGUUAAUUACGUUCUGUCCUAUUGUUGUAUCUGGUGCUGCAUGUGACGUACAAUCAUAUUAUAUUUACAUGCACUAAUUUUUUCAACCAUGCAACAAUAUUAUAUUUUUUACAUAUCAAAUAAUAUAAAAAAAUAUAUCAAAUUACAGGUGUAAACAACCUAAAUAAAUCGAAUAUCCCUAAUAUUUUGACGAAUUUGAAAUUUGGUUUGUGUUUGACUUUUUCAAUUCUGGAACCGAGUUCCAACAAACUUUUAUCGAGUUCAACUCGAACUCGAGUAAAUUGAAUUUUUAUAUAUAAAAAUUUUAAUGAUAUACUAAUCGAAUCGAGUUCAAAUCAAAUUUAAAGAAUUUAUCAAUAUAAAUUGCUAUUCAAAUUCAGUUCGACUAAUUGAAAGUUGGAUUCGAGUAUUAAAUAGGUGAAUUCAUCUUGUAUCCUCGUAUCAAAUAGAUGAAAGUUGUUGUUCAUUCAAUUCUUUUUUUUUUUUUUUUGUCAAAUGUUGGUCAUUCAAUUCAAUGUUCACAAAAGAAAAGAGAGUGCAGUCAAUGCAGGCAGGCCAGCCACCAAAUCACCAAGACCUCUCAAGUUUCGCGUGUACACUGUAGCGGCCACCCCACCCCCCCCCCCGGGGUUCUUCCCCCGCAACCCCCUACGCUACAGCCCCCUUCCCUCCCUCUCUCUCUCUCUCUCUCUCUCUACCCAGUUUCUUCUUUUCUCUGUUUCCGCCAGUUGGUAGUAGAAACUAGAAACCAAUAGUAGAAGAAGAGAGAAAAACUGCAAAAAAAAAAAAAUCUUAAUCCCCUUCACAGCAUUCAAUUCUCAAGCUAAAAUGGCUAUUCAAUAUCCACCCAGACAUGGGAUAAGUUCGCGAAGACCAAGCCCAACAACCAUUUCUUCUUUCUCCUGUGUCCUUUUUGUUCUCUGAAAAUCUCUUUUCUCCAUAACUUAGCUGUUUUCCAGCACAAAACUUUUCUCUUGCUUUUUAUUUCAAAUACAGUAGUACUGAAUACUUUGUACUUUUGUAGAGUAUUUUCGCCUUUUCAACUUUCACUAGUCAAAAAAUCAUCCUCUUCAUCAUUUUCUGAUUUUCUCCUUCCCCUGCCUAUGUUGUUUUGAGUACUUUCAAACAAGUUUUGAAUAUAUUUUAGCUCAAUAGUGCUCUCAUCCCACAUAACUUCUCUGCCUACUUUCAUCAGGUUUGCUUUUCUUUCUCCAAUCGAGUUCUUAUUUUGUUUUCUGUUAUUAAGUUUAGUAAUCACCCUCACCACAGAAUUUUUAUUGUGUUUUCUUAAAUCGUUUAGUUUUCUGUUAAAAAAAAAAUUUAUAGUUGGGUUUUUGGUUAUUUUCUUUGAUACUACUUUUUUGUUAUGAUCUUAUUUUUCUAGCUUUCCUGUUGUUUUAGUUUUCGUAGCCCAUAUGCCCCUUUUUGUUGAUUAGUAAUAUCUGUUUUGCUUCUUUUGUUGAAUGAUAUCUUCUUUCGAAAUUAGUUUAUAGAUCCACUGAUAAUAAACAUAGUUGUAGUUUCUCCUUACCUGAAAAUUUUGCAAUCCUUUUCUUAGUAUUAGUUUUUGAAUAUCCGUUCUCGUUGAUAAGGUGCAGUUAUUAUCAUUUAUUUUGCCUUAAAAGAAGAGGUAAAGUAGAUAUACAGUGUAUAGUAGAAGUUUAAAUGAAAUUGGGUUAUUGUAGUUUGGAAAUUGUAAUAUGGUAAAAUAAGAUAGAGUUUAUGUUCAUCAACAAAAGUUAAUUAGUCAUUGAUUGUCGAAGUUAAAGUGGUAGUUGUUCCAUUGUCGAAAGCCAAUUGGAUGUUACCUGGCUUUAAAAUUAAGUUAAUGCGGUGGUUGUGUAGGAUCACAUCAUAUUAGCACUCAUUGAUAUUUACCUUUUAGCAGCAAUUCAGGAAAUAAAAUGAUGCUUAAAGAAAACAUCUGGGAAUGGGGAGAAUAUUUUGAUUGAUGAUAUUUCUGAGCAAUUACUUUCCUGAGUGCUUUUCAUUUGCAUUUUCCUUGGAUUGAUUGUGUACAGAAGUUGGAUUCUGCUGAUUGUGCCAUUGGUAGAAGAUCUUGAUCAAUAAGUGAAUUUGGACUUCAAUAUGGCUGAGGAUUCCAUCAGAGGCUUUGAAGCGUACCUGGUUGAAUGCGGUGGUCCUUUCUCGAAUGCUUUGUCUGAGAUGGGUUAAUGUUAACUUUUGACACCAUAUCUUUCUUGAGUUUGUUUGGGAGGAGAUAGGAGUGAGAAGUAUGAUGGCUGGCACGAGUGAAAUUGUUCAGUCCGUGGAAGAAGUUGAUUGUGAAAACAGAUUAGAUGAGAAUGGUUUUAAGGACAAGGUAUUGAGAACUGGGCACAAGUAUUCUAUAGAGGAUGAUAUCAGCAAGCUUUUUGAGGCAAUAGAUAUUAAGAAUUCUCGUAGGGCUUCAGGUCAAUCGGAAGGCCAUUUUAGAGAUGGAUUAGAUAAGAGUGCCAUGAAAAGACCAAUGCGAGUUGGUUCUGCUCAGGCAUCUGGUAUUGGAAUUUCGGAGUCCACAAGUUUGAAGCAGGCACUAAGAGGAUUAUGCAUCUCUCAGGCAUCAGAGAUGGCUGCUUUGAAAAAACGGCUGGCAAAAACUGGUAUGUCUAGGCACUCAGAAGCAGGAAAUAUAAAGAGACUUUACAGGGCUGUAGUUGUUGAGGCCGGUGAAUCUGGUUAUCCACUUAACCAGGGUCGAGGAAAUUUGGUGGAGAUAUCUCUUGUUCCAGAAAGCAGCACAUCAUUGAAUCUUGUUGGCAACGCACACACAUCUGAGCAUAUGAACAAUAUUGAACUUUCAAAUUAUCAUGCUAGCUCCUCUACUCUUUCAGCAGAUGAAUUGAGACGAAAAGAAGAGUCGACUGAAACACCAGCUAAAGGUGAGAUGGUUCCUUUGUCAAUUUGCAGUGACCUUUCUAAUGCAGAAUUAGAAGAGAAUAAGAAAUUGAAAGUGGAGCCUUCACCAAUUGGCCCUUCUGGUAACAAAAAACUUCAGAUGCUUGAUGAGCUUGUUCCUGUAUCAAUUGGAGUUCCAGAUGCACCGUUUUGUCCAGACAAGGAGCAGGAAGAAAAGUUCCACUCUGCUUCUUGUUCAUCAGUUUCAAGCGCAAACAAGGCAAUCAAAUCAGCAGCCAAUAGUCCACGCUUAAUUAAACCACUUUUUAGGGGCAAAAAUUUUGUUAUGAAGAAACUUAUGUCCAACUCAUCCACUCUGUCCAGUGGUUCCUCUCAAUGUAAUAGUGAAGAAGUUUGCCGGACCCCUGACUCUGCCUUUAGAAAUGGGCCUGAAGAAAAUAUGGUUUCCCUAGAAAUAUGUAGUACGAGUGCAGAGGUGAGCUCAAAGUACGUGGACUCCAAUCCUACAAAUUCAGGUCUCGCUCCAAACAAUACUAAAAGAACUAAAAGUCAAUUUAGGCAGGCUGAUGAAAGAUCAGGGUCAAGGGAGAAGGGAGAGAUAUCACAAAGCUCGAAAAGUAGCAUUGGAGACUACAGCAGUACCACGAGCUCUAGUGAAGAAAGCUAUCUCAGUAGAUCAAGCCGAAGUGGCUAUCGGCCUCACAUGUCAAAGGACUUGAGAUGGAAAGCUAUUCAUUGUAUUCAGAAGCAGCAUGGAUACCUAGGCCUCAAACAUUUCAAGCUGCUGAAGAAGCUUGGUGGGGGGGACAUUGGGAAUGUCUACCUUUCUGAACUAAUUGGCACAAACUGCCUAUUUGCUGUGAAGGUUAUGGAUAAUGAUUUUCUUGCCAGCCGUAAGAAGACGAAUAGAGCUCAAACUGAAAAAGAGAUAUUGCAAAUGCUUGAUCACCCAUUUCUCCCUUCCCUCUAUGCCAAUUUUAGAACAGAUAAAUUCUCUUGCCUAGUUAUGGAGUACUGUCCAGGUGGAGAUCUGCAUGUGCUCAGGCAAAAGCAAUCCAGCAAGAGUUUUGCUGAACAAGCAGCCAGGUACUGUGUCAAUCUACAUAACUUUUUGACUGUAAGUGUAUAUGUUAAUGGGAACCAUGGUUUUGAGAGUGUUUUCCUGGCUGAAUGCUUACUAACUUGAUGCUCUGAAAUGUUGGUUUACGUCCCCAUUCGUACUUCAAGCCAUAUCCCUCACUUUAUAAUUCUCAUGAAUGGGGAUAAAUGAAGUCAUUUCACUUGUCAUGGAGCAAUCUGUGUUAACAGGCCAGUUUUGAAACUUUGUCUCCAGCAAUAUUUUGCUUCAGAAUCAAGUUUGGUAUACUUUGUGUCGGAUCUAGUUGAUGAAAAAUAAUACUACCAAGAAGACUUUUGCCUAUUAUAUGGGGGACGAGUUGUUUUUGAUAACAUUCAAAAUUCUCCACUCAGUGAUUCAACCAAUCUCACUGCAGGGAUUAACAGCUUUAGGAUUUGAUCAGGAGUCAUUGAUUCUUAUGUCUCUUUCAGCUCUGGAAGAUAUGAAACUGUAUGAAUCUGAGUAAUGCUCCUACAAGUAUGUUAACUUUGCAUCCAAAUCAAUUUGGGAGCAUUAGUUUCUGGAAUGUGGAGGACUAACUAAGCCAUUGAUUUCCUUUCGAGAUAUAAUGACCAAAAGAAGUAUGAGUACCUCAUUAGGAAUUAGCAAAAUGUUCAGGAAGCAAUAGACACAAUGGAUUAUGUGGUACCAAAAUCAACAAAUACUCAAUAUUUGCUGUCUCAGGACCUUUGAAAAGGAUGUUUACCAACUUCGAUAACCCGACAAAUACAUUAAAUUGUCAUCCAUGUGAAUGAUUUUGCUGUUUCUUGUGUUUACAUGAAGUAUUUAGGGAUACUAGCUAGUAGUAAGCUUUUAUUGAAAAAAACCAUGACUUUUUUGACAUAGAGCAUGAUUAUUUUAAUAUAAGACCAAUAUGCUUCUUAAUUUUUGGAGAUCUGCUCCAAUUUUCAUUAAAUUCAAAAUCAAAAGAAGGGAAGGAUUUAAAAUGGCUAACUGAUGCAGUUAACAUGCACUUCUCAGUAUGAACCUACAGGAAAUUUUAGCUUCUGAAGGACAUGACUAAAAUCUUAUCAAGUCUUACUGUUCCUUUUACUCCUUGUGUGGUGUCCUCGUUUAGAAAGAAGCACAUGCAAAAAGCUUCAUAUAUUAUUUAACAGUAAGUUUUCUCGUGGUGCAUGAUGCAGGUUUUACAUUGCUGAAGUUCUUCUUGCAUUGGAGUAUCUUCACAUGCUUGGAGUUGUGUUCCGUGACUUGAAACCUGAGAAUGUUUUGGUCCGAGAAGAUGGUCACAUUAUGCUCACAGAUUUUGACUUAUCGCUAAGAUGUGCAGUAAAUCUCACAUUGCUUAAAGCAUCGUCACCUGUUGUGGAGCCUCCAAAGAGGAUGCCAAGUCCUCCCUCAGAAUCCAGCUGCAUAGAUCCUUUCUGCCUUCAUCCAUCCUGGCAAAUGUCCUGUUUCAAUCCCAGAUUUCUAUCUGCUGCAUCGAAAACUCGUAAGCUAAAAUCUGAGCUAGCUGCCCAGGUGAGUCCUCUACCACAGCUCAUAGUGGAGCCUACUAGUGCACGAUCGAACUCCUUUGUUGGAACACAUGAAUACUUGGCUCCAGAGAUCAUAAAGGGUGAAGGUCAUGGGAGUGCAGUAGAUUGGUGGACCUUAGGAAUUUUUGUUUAUGAGCUUUUAUAUGGCAAGACGCCUUUCAAAGGGGCAAGCAAUGAUGAAACAUUGUCCAAUGUGGUAUCUGAGUGUCUCAAGUUUCCAGCAGGUCCCAUGGUCAGUUAUCAUGCUAGAGAUUUAAUCAGACGGCUAUUACAGAAGGAGCCGGAGAACAGGUUGGGUUCUGAGAAAGGGGCAGCUGAGAUAAAGCAGCAUCCGUUUUUUGAAGGCCUGAACUGGGCUUUAAUACGCUGUACUACACCUCCUGAGGUGCCAAAAUUUUGUGAGUUCGGAAGUUUGACUCCUGACAUGGCAUCACAUGAUAAGGAGAUUAGCAAGUUUGUGAAAGAAAAAGGAUGUAGGACGAUAGGAGAGGAUAUAGUGUUUGAUAUGUUUUAGCACAUACAUAUUUAUAGGUUUGGGAAGCAAUAGCGAUGGUUUUUUCUUCUUAACGGGGCUUUCUCAUCUUUGUUAUAACUGACAUAUAGCAUAUACUGUACAUUCAUAUGCAAAAGGAUUGUUUUCAGGCAUAUUGAAGUAUGAUACAUCUUCCAAAACUGUUGUCCCUGUGGUUCUUGUACCAUCUCUAUUGGAUUUUAAAUUGGAGAACUACCUAACUAAAGCUAAAGAUCAGGAACAUAUAAAUGAUCGUUUAAGCAAAUAAAUUUCAUCACAAGCAUCAUAUAAAUUCUGUCUUCGUAUAAACAUGCAGAGGGGAAAACAGAAGUCUACCUUGUAUUCACACUAUCCAAACAAAAAGAUCAAUACCUUCAUUUUGCCGUGUUUCUGUUGCUACAAAAAUUGUGAUUGUGUUAUAAAUGCUCUUGGUAGAGGACAAAACGUCUUCUUGUCUUGAAGCAUUCUCAUGGAAGCAAUCACCUCAGGAGACCUUCUUGAAAUUAUAUAUUCAUUUAGAAAGAUAGAAUUAGAAAAAUACUAAGAGCCCAUUUGAAUUGCUAUUGUAAAAAAGAAUUUACUAUCUCAAUUUGAUGUACGUGUGAUAAAAUGAUGAUUUAAAAAUUUAUUCAUAAAAAUUUUCUGAAAAAUAAGGGUUCGUUUGGAUUCCUUGUUUUUGCACCUGUUUUUGAAAAACUGUUUUUCACAUUCCAAAUGCUACAGUAAAUGUGUAUUUCAAAAAUAAUUCCAAAAACACCCAUAUCCAAACAUUAUAUCAAAAACAACUCCAAAUAUACAAAUUUAAUAUGUAUAUUUCAAUUUAUAUUAAUAUAAUAUAAAUUGAAAUAUAUAAAUUGAAAUAUGUAAAUUGAAUAUAUAAAUUGAAAUAUACAAAUUGAAAAUUAUAUAUUUAUAUGUUAUAUAUGUUAUAUAUUAUAUAUUAUAUAAAUAUUUACAUACAUUAAUAUUAUACAUAAUAUAAUAUAAUAUACAUAAUAUGUAAUAUUGUAUACAUAAAUGUAUAAAUAUUUAUACAUAAUAUAUUAUGUACAUUAUAUUAUAAUAUAUAUAUUAUUAAUGUACUUUCAUUAUUAUGUACAUUAUUGUGUAUAAUAAUGUAUAAUAAAGUUAUGUAUAAUAUAUAAUAUACAUAAUAUGUAAUAAUGUAUAAAUGUAUAUUAUGUAUAUUAUAUUAUAUAUAUACAAUAUUAUGUAUAUUAUACAAAUUGCAAAAUUUUAUAUUAUAUAUUUAUAUAUUAUAUAAAUAUUUAUAUAAUGAAAUAUACAAUAAAUAUUACAAAUUGAAAUAUUAUAUAAACACCAUAUUUAUUAAUAUUCAAAUAUUUAUAAUUAAUAUUAAUGUAUAUUAUAUAUAUUAAAUAUUUAUAAAUAAUAUAUUUAUAUAUUCAAAUUAUAUAUAAUUUAUUUAUUUAAUGUAUAUGUUUAUAUAUUUAUAAUAUAUUUAUACAAAAAAUAUAUAUUACAAAAUUAUAUAUAAUAUAAUAUAAUAUAUAUUAUAUAGAUUAUACAUUUAUAUAAAUGUACAUUUAUACAUAAUAUAUAUAUUUAUGUAUAUUUAUAAUUUACAUUUAUAUUAUGUAUUAUAUAUAAUAUAAUACAUUUACACAUUUAUAUUAAUAUACAUUAUAUUAAUUUUACAUUUAUACAUAAUAUUAAUACAUUUAUAUAUUUAUAUUAAUUAUAUUAAUACAUUUAUACAUAAUAUUAAUAUAUAUUUAUGAUAUAUUAAUUUAUACAUUUAUAUAAUAUUCAUUUAUAAUUUAUAUAUUUAUAAUAAUAUACACUUAUACAUUUCUAAAUAUAUUUAUAUUAUGUAUUAGAUAUAAUAUAAUACAUUUAUAUAUUUUUAUAUAAAUAUAUAAAUAUAUUUAAUUAUAAAUAUUUAUAAAUGUAUUAUAAAUGCAUAAAUAUAUAUUUAUAUAAAAUUUAUAAUUUAUAAUUUUUACAUUUAUAUAAUAUUCAUUUAUAAUUUAUACAUUUAUAAUAAUAUACAUUUAUAUAUUUAUAAAUAUAUUUAUAUUAUGUAUUAUGUAUAAUAUAAUACAUUUAUAAUAUAUUGAUAUAUUUUUAUAUAAAUAUAUAAAUAUAUUUAUUUAUAAAUGUAUUAUAAAUGCAUAAAUGUAUAUAAAUAUAAAAAUAUAUAAAUUAUAAAUUAUAAAAUACUCAAAAAUAUGUUUUAAAAAUACCUCUAAAAAUAAUCCAAAAAACAUCUACAGUAAAAGUUUGUCAUAUAGUUUUUGAAAAACAACCCCAAAAACAACUAAUCCAAACGGACUUGUAUUUCAAAAACGAAAUGCUACAGUAUUGUUUUUGAAAAACAACCCCAAAAACAGCUAAUCCAAACGGACCCAAAGGCAAUCGAAACAAGAGCUUGAUCUCAAACGUGCCAGAGCUUUUAAUGGGAGGCUCUCAGCCAACCAAAUCAACUCCCAUUGCCAAAAAUCUAGCAUGGCUAAACCCUUUCUUUUUUGGGUUUUCUCUCUAGUCCUCUCUCUUCCUUUCAUUGUGUACUUUUUAUAUGACAAUUGGCAAUUUUUCUUUCAAAAUUUUGGCAAUUUUUGACAUGACCUCAAUAAAUUUUCAAAUCUUGAAAUGGCCCACAAUUACUAGCAAGAAAAAGAGAAACUGAAUGCCUCUCCCUCCAGACAGAACUACAGAAGGACAGCAAGAAUCUCAUCACCAAUUCACCAUUCCAAAAUCACAGGAAAAAGCUAAUGAGGGCCUUGUACUACUACACAUCAUUGGCUGCAGCUUCAACAACUCCAAAGUUACCAUAUUGCCACUCCUCUCCCACUCUUCUUCUGCCCCCACCAAAAUCCCAGUUAUUUCCACCCGUUCCAAAAAAAUUCCCAUUUCUUAAAAGCCCCAGAAACAGUGUACAAAACAAGAAGAAACCCUUGAAUCUAAUAAUCAAAGCAACAAUGGCCUCCACACCGUCAGCUGCAGCAACUGACUCAAGGACGAAGCCUUUUUCAGUUCUUUUUGUUUGCCUUGGCAACAUAUGCAGAAGCCCAGCUGCUGAAGGUGUUUUCAGAGACUUGGUGAAAAAAAGAGGUCUUGAUUCUAAGUUCAAUAUUGAUUCUGCUGGCACCAUCAAUUACCAUGAGGUAGGGAAAAAAAUUACCCUUUUCAUAUUUGUCUAAUAUAGUGAUGUUGGUUGGUGUUUUCCUCCUUUCUGUUUUUAACUUAUAUAAAUGCAUUUCUUUUUUGUGCUAUUGUUGAAAUUGUUGUUGUUGUUGUGUAUUUUAAGGGUGAUCAAGCUGAUCCAAGAAUGAGGGCUGCCUCUAAAAGGCGUGGAAUUGAGAUAACUUCAAUAUCAAGGCCAAUUAGGCCCUCUGAUUUUAUAGAAUUUGAUCUUAUUUUGGCAAUGGACAGAGAAAAUAGAGGUUAAUAUACACCACUAUGACUUAUCUGUUGUCAUUCUUUUAUUUUAGUUAUUGGAUCAUCAGUGCUUCGGUAAUAUGCCCAUGGUUUAGGCUGAUGAUAUAGUCUACAUCCUGCAGAAAAAAGAAAUGAAUUUAGUAGAGUACAGUCAACCUGUGAAAAUUCUUUACAACUGGUUGCACUUAUGCUAAUAUGAAAUGAAAUUUGUUUAUCUGAUAUCUAUGCUGUAUUAUAUGUAGAGGCUAUACUUUCAGCAUUUGAGAGGUGGAGGCAUAGAGAACCUUUGCCUGCUGAUGCUGCUAAGAAGGUUGGUUGAGGACGUGUGUUCAAAAAAUAGACAAGGGUUUUGUAAUUAUUUGAUAAUUUAGGUUGAUUCUGCAGGUCCGACUAAUGUGCUCUUAUUGUAAGAAGCAUGAAGAAGAUGAAGUCCCAGACCCCUACUAUGGUGGACCACAGGGUUUUGAGAAGGUAAUAGAUAUAAAAUCUUUUGCUGAAGGUGCAAUGAUGACUUUGUUAUUGUUGUCAUUUUUUUAAAUAUUUUUGUGUGUUUUUGUUUUUGUUGAAAGGUGAACUGAGAUCAGAUGCUGCAAUACUAUUUUGAUGUUGCCAUAUAAGAGCUUUUAUGUACUAGAUUGGUACAUAUUCAUUACCUACUUCUACACUGUUACAACUUCUGUUGACUAGUGUCACACCUUCAUACAAAUUUCACUUUAUCCCCAUUGGUAUGAUGGACCAAAUCGAAUCACUAUGAAUACACAAUCAGCCAUGUAAACACUAGGAUGUCCUUGAAGGCACAUGGAUCUUUACAUUCCCUAAUGGAUGAAAUGUAGGAAGCUGACAAUGAGGUUACUAGCAUAUUGAUAUCUAUGGUUCCUACUUUCCUAAUUAGCUUCCUUGUAUCUGUCUCGGUUGGAUUUUGGAGAAUCAUGAAAGUGAGAGGAAAGCCAGAAGCAGUGAAAAUUAAAAAUGUUGUGUGUUUUAUACAUGCAUUAGGUUGAAUCCUGUUAUUGAUAAAUCAUUCAUGAAGCCUGACGUUGGAGAAUUACUAGCUGAUAACCCCUUGUAUUUAAACUGGCCUUAUAAAGUAUGACGUGCUGCUUUUAUUGAGUGCAAGAGUAAUUGAUGUUUCACAAGCUAGGACAACUGAACCUGGAUCCGCCUGUUUUACGGCUGCUGUAGAAUGCAUUUAUCAGGAGUAUGUUUAGACUUUUCUGAAUGCCUCAUCCAAAGGUUCUUUUUGGGAAUUCUGCUUUCCUCAUUGUUUUUGUAGUGCCCGCUCUUAAUGCUUCUGAGUGUCUUUCUUUUUGCUAUAUGGAUACCUUUUAUUUAUUUUUUCUUUUUAUAAAAAGAUGUGUACUUCCUUUACGUUGUUUAGUGGUAGUCCUAGUUGCUCACAUCCUAAUCUUUGUCCACGAAUAUUUUGGUCAUUGCAGUCCAUCAUUAGUUCAAGAGAUUUUGAGUUACCUAAGUAGUUGUUAGAUGAUUCUGGAUUUCAUUUCUCUAUCUUGGUUGUGGCACUCCAGUUAUGAGAUGACACAGUGUCUCAUACAUACAGCCCUCUUGCUACUUUCUGCAAAUGCUUGAAUAUUAAGCAUAAGACUUCGGAGUGUAUUUUUUCUAAAACGGAUUCUUUUUAAUUUUCUUCUUUUAUGGCAGGUUUUGGAUUUACUUGACGAUGCCUGUGAGUCACUGUUGGAAAGCAUUUUAUCAGAAAAUACAGAAUUAGCUGAUUCUUAGAUGCAUACUGCAAGCCGAUUCGUCAGAAGAUGAGAUUUCUGAGCAUCAUUGCUAGUCCAAAGAUGCUUCGCCAACUAAUCGACAUGAAUUAUUUAUUACAAAUUUGCUUACUUUCAUCACGGGGUAGAUGAGACACUGAUUACGGUCAAAGCUUGAUGAAGUAAAUUCAUAAAUUUGCGUGUAUGAAGUUGGUUGUCAAGCCAAACCAACAUUAUCGAAAGCUGCAGUCUGGAAUGGGAAGUUUUUUCCCUCUGAUGCUCUUCUUUUACUUGGCUUAAACAUUUCUGGAAUUGUAAAACUUUUGAUGGUGAACCUUCCUGUUUGACGAUGCUGGAUUGUUGAUGAAAAGGGUUCUUUGUACCCCUCUUGGUUUUACAAAACAGGGAUGCUACAUUUGAGCCCCUAAAUCCUCAAUAAUGACUGUAAAAGAGGAAAGAAACAAAGGCGACGCUUCAAUGCUUGGUCAUUUUCUGUAGAAUUCCAAUCAACCUGUAUCAGGGAAAUGCCACAGAAAGCAUUUGUGCCAAGAAAGAAAUGAGGAAACUAUAACAAUAACUGCAAUUGUGAAUCCACUUUAAAUGAUCUCAUGUGGCUCAUCUUAAUGGAUGCGGGAAUUGGAUGCUUCGUGGUAGGGAUGGCUCUAAUGUGGCAUCAGCUGACUUCUUUUCUGUCAUACAGCAAACACUUCAUCAACUGAACUGGUUUGGUCACAAAGAUGAGAUCUAUAUACAAGCGGGACAAAUAGACCCGUGAUUUUUACUUGUUAAGACUGUUAUGUACAUGAAUACGUAAUAACACAGGAUAAAAGCUUUGCUCGAGUGCCACAGAUUCGUUGUCGCCAAAGGGGGCUAAGCUUUCGGCAUAUCAAAACUCUUCUCAAAUUACGAAGUUGUAUGGUCCUUGGGGAGCUAAUUCAUAUGAUGUAACUCUGCUUCAAUUUUCUCCUUGGACGCUUCUUUGGAUUAGCACUAAGCGCAUUUGAGAGUGCAUUUACCAAUUCCGAAUCUUCUACGUUGAUCAGCUUCUUUGCUGCCUUCGGAUUGGAAAUAAGGAGCUUUGCGACGAGAUAUCCAGCAAUGGACCAGGUUUGAAAGAGUCGUGCCUGUUUACCAAUAAAUCUUGCUCCCUUGGUGUCAUAAUAUUCGGGCCACUUGUCUCUUGCUAUCCGUCUCUCGGCAACUUUGAUAGCAUUUUCAGCAAUCUCUGGCCGAUUCAUCUUUAUGCAUGCAACGGUCAACUGAAAAAAAAAACAGUAAUUUUCAUGCCAUCAACAUAUAAAUUACGAAAAGCAUUCGAGAUGAGAUGGUUAAGAAAAUCUUCAAAUGCCAGAUUCAAUUGUUAAAUGGCCAAAUGCCGACUCAACUAUCAGUAACGUUAUUGGACAGGCAACCCAACAUCUAUUACAUGCUACGAGGCAUGAGAUUUAGAAAAAGCAGCAGUUCUUCCUUUAGUGAGGGGCACAAGGUAUCCAUCUAACGACAAACUUGUACAAGGAGAUUCCUGAUAUUCAUUGUCAUCUGCUAAAUGAGAAAACCAUAAUCCAAAACCCUCUCUUUGUCCCACUGAAAUCAAUUGAAGAAAGUUUCUGAACUAAUGCAUGACUAAUAGAGAAAAUACACGGUAGUACGUGGUUAAGCUUGCUCAGCAUAUUGCAAGCUUGAGCUAACAAACUUGUUUAGACCCCCUUCCUUUCUCCAAUUCCUUGUAAAAGAUAAACACAUGACUUGUCAUCCAAAAGGUUCCAGUACCAUUGAAGAGGAAUCUUACCUCUCUUCAAUAUCAAUCAAGUAUGUAGAGCUCCUAAGAAGACACAAAUUUCAUAAUGCUACAUCUUCUUAAUGGUUUAUCCAUCUGAAAAGCUCAAAUCUGAGUGGAUUGUUUUCAAAAGUAGGAAAUGCAUGUGUCAUCAACACUAACUCAAAUUUGAUAUAGCUGCAUCUCAAGACAAGCAAGAUGCUAUCUAAUGUCUGACAAACUUUGAGGCAAAAUCAUGAAUUAAUUUUAUUAAGCUCCAGAACACAAAAAAGCACUGGUGGACUGCUGCAGGACAAGUGGUAUGAAGAAAAGUGGCACGAGUAUUAAAACAAUAAUGAACAUAAUACCAACCUGCCAGAGCAGUGUCGGCCAUGCGCCUGCAUUGUGGUAAGACCAAGGCCUGCAUCAGAAAUUUCUGCUUUGAGAAAAAUUCGACAAUUAAUAAAGAAGAAAAUAGUAUCACAAACGACAUGGAUAAUUACGUGUUCUUUGGAUCAUAGCCCGUAAUUAUUUGCCACUCCUCGCCCUCAAGAGCUGGGUAACAUAUCUUUAAUGGCAUAUUAGCUACAAUAUCUUCCCAUUUGGCUUCAAUAAGAUCUAGUAUGGCAUGCGACUGGUCAGUGGUGGCGAGACUACUAAUAAUAGACCACAAAUUUCCAAGAGAGAAGAAACGAAAAUCCAUGUGAGCUGGCUGCAGGUUUCCAAUGAAAUAGCCUCCUGUGGUGGGCAUCCAUUCCACCAACCAUGGAGGUAUCUGAUCAGGGUAUAUGUUGAACUUGUUAACUGCAUCAUAAGAGUAUUCUUCAGUCGUAUAGCGAUAUAUUUCAUUGAGUUUCCUCAUAUCGAUCCAAUAAUACUCUCUGAUGUGAAACGAUAAUGCUACGAGACGAUUAUUGAGUGCUCUAAUAAGGUCAGCUGAUGCUUCCUCAGGAACAAGCAUCUCACGAGCACAAAGUAAGGCAGAAUAGAACAAUGCCUGAAGAAAUCAAUAAAUAUCACAUGUCGAAUUAUGCUAAAGCUCUGAAAGAAGGAUAUUCAACUACAUACAAAGUGAUUUAAAUAAAAAAAGAAAAACAACGUUGAGUCCUAAUUUUUGUGAUAGUUUCAGAAGUAUCUACAUUGCUUAAUAGUCGCACAAGUAUCUACGUUCCUUAACACCAAUAAUCACACCCCAAAAGAAUGCACUCAUAAGCAACUGUAACUGACUGACGGUAGAUAAAGGUGUUGCAGAUGAUAUAAAGACAAUAAGUGUGGAUCCAGAAAUGGAUAUAAAAAUGAAAACCUGAAUUUCCAGAGGAUGGCCAUGAAUUCCCAUGCGGCGAUCUAUCAUGCAAGAACCAUCAGUAACUAACAAAGUAGGAAACAUGUCAAAACCAUCUGCAAGACAUAGCUUCAAAAUCAUCUUAAUCCCUGUUUGAACAUCAACUCGCUCCUGAACUGAAAGAUCACCAGAAAACUUCCCAUAAGCUCGUAGCAAUAUGAUCCACCACAGUCCUUCAGGGACAAAAGAGGAAAACAAAAGAAAAUCAAUGUUAAUACAGAUUACUUAAUCUAAAAGAAUCUUUAUUUUCUACAUGUCAUGCAAGAGAAACUAGUUACCAGAGUCAACUGGUGCUACCCGACCAAUUGCUGCCUCUCCAAAAUCUGGGUCCAAGACCUCUUCUGUUGCAGAAUCAUCACCAUCAAGUGGAACAGUACGCACUUUAAAGCUGGCAGGCAUCAAUCCUUGACCUGGACUAUGACAAUCCAUAGUUUUCUCCCAACUCUAUUUAUAACAGGAGAGAUAAGUUACUUAAAUUGUCAAACACAGUUUCUCUGUCAGAGAUAAUAACAAAAUUUAAACAGUUCUUUAACCUACUGGAUUCAUAAUCAUUCCUCUAGCUUUAUACCUAUAUUAUUUCACGAAUAAUACGUACCAAGAUCUGACUUAAGAAAGAACAUAUAGACUGGCACCAUAUUCAUUUCAGGUACUUGUGUAAAUGACAUUGAAAAAAAUGCGCAAUCGGGCUGGCUGAAAAAUGGUGGCAAAUCCCAGAUUUGAAGCUUCCCACAUCCCCCCUCCCCUCCCCUCCAAAAAACCCCCAAAAUAGGAAGGAUGUUGCAAGCUGUGUACAGCUAGACCUGGAGUUACUUUUUGAUUCAAGAAACCUUUUAGAGAAUGAGGGGACCUAGUUUUGCAAGUAAAAGCACUUGUCCAACAGUGACAUGAAAGCUGUGGAAGCCUUGGCAAAGCAGACCUUGAUGUAUAACCAAGAACCACAGCAAUAAUGCAAACCCAAGAAAAAGUGCCAACCGAUUCAAGGAACAAUAGCUACUAUUAUCAUGAUACGGUCUCAGCCAAUAAGUCAAUGUGUUAACAGCUUAGACUUUGAAAGCAUGAUGCUGUAUUCCAGUCUAAACUUUGUGAAGAACCAACAUAACCAAUUCAGCUUGUAGCAUCCUAGCAAAGGUGUUUGCAGAUGAAGAAACAAACUUCACAUAUCCAACUAUAUCAAUUUCAUAUGAUUUUUAGGGUGUGCAUAAGACUUCUCCCUCUUAAACCUUUAUUAAUCACUAUUGAACUUCUCCUCUGUUAUCACAAACUCAGCCAUUAUUCCUACUACACCAAAAAUACAUGAUACCAUUUUAUGUAAAAUUGUACAGUUUUCUACCAAAAUCGUCUUAUGCAUAACGAUGCUAGUGGCAAUCAUAAUAGGCUUCUAUAAAUCACGCCAAACGAAGGAAAAGAACAUGCAUACAAAAUUUGCUCGCAAGAAGAACACUAGGAGUACUAUCAAAUACUUAAGUUCGCAACAUGAGAAGAGGCAGUGAUGAUAUGAGAAACGGAAGGCAUACACGUGCUAUUGCUCAAGGAUCACCAUGUACCUAAGAAUUUAUUCCUCCAAGACAGAAAGGAGCAAUUUUCAACAAUCAGAAUCAACACUUUCCCCUCUUUUCUCAUUCUAUAUUCCUCAUCAGUUAGUCUGAGAGUCGAGAAACUGUUCUUCAUAGACUAUGCACGUUGUUGACUUCGCCAAUACAAUUACAUGCUCAAAAUAUCUCAUACAUUAACUGGUGCAGAUACAUAAAGUGUGAGAAGUCUCAAAGUGUUUGUAGUUUACCUGCAACUGAAGGGUGUGAAGAAUGAAAUUCCGAACAAUAUCAUACUCUCCUUUAAGCAGAAAAGCCAUCCCAGAAGGUAUGAAGUCCCUGAUAAAUAUCUGAUCAUAGUUGAGAAUGUUAGCAGCACUCGGAUCAUUUGCAGCAAUUGUUCCUAUAGGAUUACCACAAUAAUACACAAUGGAUGCUCGCAACAAGUUCCAUGCUUCAUCCUCAAUAGAAUUAAUUCCAAAACCCUGCAACGUGUCACUCAUUUCCGAAGCUGCAGCAAUUUCAUCAUCAGAAGUAAUCACUGUCUUCUCAUUAUUCAGCAGUUUAGGCCCUUCCAAACUUUGCAAACUCGAAGGCUCCGACAUGCCAUUCACUGAUUUCCCGCUUCCAACCUCAACGAUUGCCUGACUAACACUCUCAGUCCUCUGGCAUUUACAACUUAAAGUCUCCAAACGCCUAUUAAGUUUCCCCACACUGUAUAAUCUGCUGAUGGCACCACGUCCUUGGACCCUCAAGCAUCCUUGAAAAUCUACAGGACCCUUUAGCUGUUCACACAGAAUAUCCUUAUCCCAUUUGCCUUUCACAUAGUUCUUGACUGAAAAAUAUGAACUUGAUCUUGUAAAAUAUGACUUUGUAGUAGUAUAGUGGCAGGGCACCGCCCCAAAGACCAACUGUAUCGAACUUCCCAUUUGCGCUACCAAUUUCAGAAUAUUGUUCCUCUGGACAUAAGCACAAGUCUGGGAAUAGGCAAUAGAAAUUAUCAGCCUACUCUAAUCAGCCAACUUAGUAAAAACACAAGAAGCAGUACACAAGCGCAGUGGCAAAACAGAGUAAAUCCCAUUAUACAUAUCAAAAUUGUCAAAAGGGAAGAACAAGAAAUGAGUACAGAGAGUUAUUUAACAAAAAUCUGGACUGGUAAAUGGAGUGAAAGGCUUUACUUACUUGAAUACAAAAAGUUCGAGUUUUUGAAUAAGCAGACACUGUUCUGAAUGCUCUUCUGCUGGAGAUAAUUUCAGGGUUUAAGUGAGGGUGUAGAUUAAGCAGCGGGGAUGAUGGUUUGAUGGGGUUUCUUUCAGACAAAACUCCAGGGGCCAGUAGGCGGUACGCUGGGGCCAAAAAGAAGCCAAGGCGAAGAUUCUACAGCAACUAAUGGAGUCGAGCUUGUGUUUGCAGUUGUGGGUCUAAUUUGUUCUUCCGUGGAAUUCACGGCAGGCACUUAUUGCCUGCUAAAUUGCUUGAUUCAGCAGGCUCUGAGCUAUCCCCAUUGUCGUCUUGUCUUUGAAUUCACAUUUAUUUCCUUUUUCAGUUUUUUGGUAUAUAGCCACAUUAAGGUGGAGAUUCCUAGAAUAUAUCGGCCUUAGAAAAUUAGGCUACAGCUUUUUCUUCUUUUUUAUUGGAAAAAAAUGUAGCCUAGAUUUAAAUAACAUUUUUUAAUUAUAUUUUUUCUUUUCUUUUAUUUUAUAAUAACACGGUUUGAUAUAAAUUGAUACUAAAAAAAUAAUUUUUAUACAAAUAUUUUAUUAAAUCUGUACAUAGCAUAGAGUCAAAGUGCUAAUAAAAACAUAUAAAAAACGAGUUAAUAUAUUAGCCUAAACAUGCUUGCUUUUCUCGAAGUUUCAUCAAUUUGUAUAUAAAGCAUAAAAUAUGUUUGCUUAUUAGCGCUUUACCUUAAGUUUAAUUCUCUGUCAAAUUAGCAUGCGUUUUUCACAAGCAAGUUUAUAGUCCUACACCAAUAAUUACAGAUUUGAUUAAAAUUUUCGCUACAUAAAAUUUUGGCAGAUGAUUAUCCUCACAUAAAAUUUCAAUCUCUAGGUCCUGUCGGACCUCUCUCCCUAGUGUAAGCUAGAAUAGAAGUAAAUUAGACUAGAUGUUGCCGUCUGAUAAAAAAAAAAAAAAAGACGAUUAUCCUCACAUUCGAGUUGUCUAACCACUUUGGCAAAAUUAUGAAAUAUUGUAGAGAUAUUGGUCUUAUGGACAUCAACAUAUAGAUUCACAUUCUGUGUUCAAGAUCACCAAGCUUUAGUACUACUGCAUUAACAUAUUGUGUCACUAUUAACUGCUUCCUCCAAUUACAGCAAAGGCAUGAGAAUUACCUACCCAUCUCAAACCUGUCAAUACUUGCAGCAUAAGAAUUACAAAGGCAUGGAUAAUUUACAGAACGUUGCGCACAGAACAAACAAAAGAACAGGUGGAAUGCUCCACCAUCCCUAGCACGUCUGAGGAACCUAACAUCUAUCUUCUGUGCAUGCCUCUUCCCGAGCUGACACCUAAUCCUCCCAAAAGAAUAGAAAGUUCCUACAGUUAAUUCUACAAUUUACACAUCACAUAUCCUCCAUGUUAUGAUCAUUGUCAUUGUCACCGUCAUAAUAUUCAUCAUCACGCUGGAUUUGCUUGUCUUGGGUAUGUUCUGCAAAGCAAGUACAAUAGAAAAACUAGCAGAGUUAAAAUCAUCUUUUAUUAAGACGAGAUCGCAAAACCAUGCGCAGAUAAAAAGUAAUUGCAUUCUUUAGUGAUUUGUUUAGCUUGGCAGUUCCACUUACGAUCCAUGCGUUCAUCAGGAUUCUGCUCAUCUUCAUCAAAAUCAGGCAGGUAAAAAUCUGGAGGUACCUGCAAAAUGGAAGACAAGUUUCGUCCUUCAAUGGCACAAUCAUGUACUGGAUACAGCGUACAGUCUUUCUCAUCAACCAACAACUAUAUUGAGUGAAGGAGGUAACAGAUCAUUAAAAACUACAAUCAAAGCUUUACAUCACCAAUCAGAUGGCAGUCAGAACCCACAACCUCAAGGGUCUGUGGAACCAUAGAUCUACAGAAUGUAUUUGUACAAUCUAUGGUUCAACCAUCAAUCCCAAAAGGCAUAACUACCUACUCACUAUUCUUGUUUCAAUAAACUCGAGCAUUUAUAUACAACACAAAUGGCUCAUAUUUUCUUGACAAGAUGGUAUCCAAAAUUUUGAAGUGUCCUAUCAAGUUACCUCUUGCAUCUGUACACUAGGAGCAUGUUGUAUGUAACGAAGAUUUUCCAGUACAUUCAUCUUUAUUGUGCCAAGAUAGGACUUGCUAUUAAGGUUUUCCUGCUCAAUUAAGAACAUAGGAAAAAAAAAUUAAUGACCAUUGAGGAACACUUGUCAAAUAAUUGUAAUGUGAACUGCACCAUAUCAAUCAGUAAAACUGAUCAAUCAAACUUUCAAAUCGGAAGGUCAAAUGUGACUGAAAACAGUCUUAGGCUUUUUCAAAUAACAAUUGGAAAGAUGCCCAUUAAACAACAACCAAUCUCAGGCACCAGCAACCAAUGAAAAACUUCACGUACUAUGUGUCCACCAGGAAUCUUCAGCGAAUAGUCUGGUUCAAAAAAUUUGAUGUAAUCAUUUUCUGGGAUCUCUGCAAGAAUAGGGAAAAUUCGAGUCACUUUGCCAUGCGGUAACAUGCAAUAUAAGGAGUGCUUCCCCUAUCAGUAAUCUCACUACCUCCAGUGUAUGCUGGAGGAUAUGAAUAGCUACCCCAGAGAAGAAAUCUAAACCCCCAGAAUAAAGUAAAUUCCAAUCCGUAGAUGGACCAUGUCAUAAAUAAAUAGCAUCAGAAGUCUUCCAAUUCUAGGAUAAGCCAAUCAGAAUAAAUGCCAAAGGAACAGCACAAACUAGCAGAAUUGUGAGGAAACCAUAAUUGCACGCAUACCAUUAGGAAGCUCCAUGUCUAAAAGAACUCCAGUUUCAAAAGCCCAGCAUCUAGCAACAUUCUCUUUGGUGUAUCCUCCACCCCCAGUUAUCUGCAGGAAGGAUUUCUCCCUAUAAGUGUAGUCUAUGGGACUGCAUUAUUAUUUAAUUUCAAUUUAACUAUCCAGAGACAAACUUACCAGAAGGGGCAAAUUGAAUUUCUUCACAAAACGAACGCAUUCAGCAUGCCCUAUUACAUGCAUAGAUAUACUAAAAUUAAGAUUGCAGCACUUAGCUUACAAAAAGAGAAGAUGCAAUAGGAUUCUAAACUGCAGACAAGACUGGUAGGGAAAAAACUAUUUCAAUUACAAGUAGAAUAGCACCAUCUAUAGAAAGGUUGAAGCAGCCCAAACGAUCCCCUGCGAGAGAAUCUGCCCCACAUUGGAGAACAAUUGCCCCAGGUAAGUAUGUUUCAACAACCUUCGAAAUAAUCUACAGAACAUAGCGCAGGAGAGAGGUCCAUCUUAACAAUAUACCACAAUUUUGAAGUAGUCCAGCAAUGCAGAGUCAUUACAAUAAAUCACAAUUUUUAAGCAGUCCACCAGUGCAGAGUCAUUGAAACAACAAGAAAGUAUAAAUACAACAUUUUCGUCACUCACGGUUUUGAAGAGUCGAGUAAAGCUGUUAUCAUCUAUUCCAUCCUUGAGAGGGACAUUGAUGGCAUAAAAUUUUCCUUCUCUUUCUCCAAUUUCCUUCAGAAUACAUGCAAAAUGUGAAUAUCACUCAUUAAUAAAUAUAUGAAUGAUAAAUAAAUUGGUAAAAAAAAAACCCAAUAAGCCCAUCCAAAAUAAAACAGCAAGACUUAAAUUGGUGAAAGUCAAAUUUAAUGAAAGAGUGGCAUAGCUGGUGGUACUAUAUAGAUGACAAGCAAAAAGACAGCUAAAAGUAUAAAAUGAAAUUGGAAUACCUUGACAUUUUGAACAUAUAUGACUAUAACUAUCUUCUAGUUAUUUGAAUGCAGUAUCAUGAUCUCCAAAACCAUUCUACUAUACCAAAUUGCAAGGAGUUCACUACAUUAGAUUAAGUUAAGAAAGUACAUGAAAUUAGAACAGCUUUGCAUAUUAAAAUUGGAGGAUUCAGGCAUGAAUAAACAAUCAUUAUUUUAAAAAAGGAACAGAAAGCAAUCUAAAAGAACUGAACAGCAGAAUGGCACAAAUCUCUCAUUGUGCCCGAGUACAAGGUAGGUCAUUCCCCAAAAUUCUUCCAGAAGAAGAAACUGGUAUAAUGCUAAUAGACUUAAUGUUUUUAUACAGAAAAGUUCCAUCUUAAACUGCACAUAAGCACUCCAUAGCUAUAGACAAGUGGAUUGAAAUACUGACUGGGGUUCUGCCUUCAGAGGAAGUCCUGAAGUAAGUCAUGCACAGACAAGGUAAAGCAAACCAGUCACAGAAGAACAUUACACAAUGGAUACUUGCAUGCAUCUGCCAUCUCAGGAACUACUUCUCUCAAAAGUCGGUUUUGUCCUCUUAUGGGAUUUAUUCUUCUCGUCAGUGCCCAAGGUAGAAGAAAGCAAUACAGAAAAGGGGGAAAAAACCAGUUUCUCAUAGUAAAACAAUCUAUCAGCUACAUCAUUAAUUUCUUAGUUAUCUAAAGACAAGAAGACCCACAUAAAGGUUAAACGCACAAAGGCCCCAGAAUCAAGAGCUAAAAUACAUGUAACAUCUAUGAUAGUAAAGACUUAGAUUUAUUGCAGGAACUCAAUGGUUACAGAAAAAGAUUUUCCUGAGAUGUGCAUGUUUAAGAGAAAACCUUUGCAUGUUAACCAAAACGUGCUCACAGAUAGAAACUAAUGAUGUUACAUGAAUCUAUGAAUUUUAAUAGCUCAUCAACUGUUCCUGAAAAGCAAAAGAUAGUUAAAAGCAAUUACCUUGACAUCACCAGUUCCAGGAAAAAACAUAUCGCCAUACUUGUGGAAACUAACAGUCAUAACCCUGCCAAGUAAAAGUAUUCUAAAUCACUUGAAUAAACAAGUAAUGAGUCAUGUCACAUGUUCCAUCAUUAGCAGCCAUCUCUCUACAAAACCGAAGUGUAUUCAAAUGUAUAGGUUAACCGAUAUCGUGGGCUUAAAGGGUAGACAACAAUUCCAGAAACUAAUGGCAACCAGCAGAGGUAGCAGAUAUCUAUACCUAAGAUCAUAAUAUGAAAUACACAGAUGUUAUCCCUUAGCAGUGCAAUCUGAAGUAAACUAUACAUGGAUGAUGAAGGUAAGAUGCUAUCUUAUCCAUUGCAACAUAUACUGCAAUAGCAACUUACAUUCUGGUCCAUGGUAACACAGCCAGUUUCAGUGAUAGAUAGACACAAGAACCAAAUCCAAGGACUCAUUCUGGUAAUAGAAUGUGUACAAACAAAUAAGGAUAGGGCAUUCAACUAGCUCUUAUUAGCUGAAUAAUAUUGAGCAAUCCAAAAACAGGGAAAAGUGAAAUUCAUUUUUAUCCCCUGAAGACAUAUGUAUAGGAUUCAGCAACAACCCUAAUAGUAGAUUCUCAGAGUUAAUUUGAUCUAAUUACCAUUAACUAAACCAAUUCAUUAACAAAUUAAUACAUAUUAAAAUAAUAGAAAAAACCCCCACUCAAACAAAAUAUCAAAAUGGAAAAACUAAAUAUCUAAACCUUCCUAUGGUAUUAUGCUGAAUUCCUUCCUGAAGUAGAUAAGAUAUAAACUUUCCUCAGAGCUCCAAAAGAGGGGAAGGCAAAUAACAAUCUUUAGACACAAUAAAAAAUUUUAUUACCUAUUAGUGAAGUAAAAGGCCUCUUCUACACCAUCCCCAUGAUGCACAUCAAUAUCAAUGUACAGCACUCUGGCAUGAUGCUUAAGAAGCUCCAAGAUUCCAAGAACUAGAUCAUUAAUGUAACAAAAUCCAGAUGCCUCACACUUCUUGGCAUGGUGCAAUCCACCAGCCCAGUUUAUGGCAAUGUCACAAAGCUCAUUAUUCAAUCUGUGUGCUGCAUCUGCAAAUCAACAAUAAUUUAGAGUCAGCAACUGUACAACAACUAAGCUCAAGUAAGGAACAAUCCUAAAUUAUAACCAGAUUACCUAUUGUUCCUCCAGCAUAAAUUUGGCAAAACUCAAACAAGUUUUCGAACACAGGGCAAUCUUCGCCGAGAUUAUCUGAAACAAAUAAUAAAUGAGCCUCGUAAAAUAAAAAUCCUCACACAAUACAUGGUACAUGAAACAAAUAAAUGAGAAAGAAUCAUAUCUGAACACUCUGAAGAGCUAUCAGAAUUGUAAUUUCAGUUGACCUAUAAAGAUAGAAAAAGUUUUAAGCUUUAACCAAUUGCACAAGAUAAUGGACAGCUAUAAUCGCCCUUUCAUUAGCCUAUAGGGGGAAAAAAUCAAAACUAUGAUCAAGCAAUCAACUGCAGUUCAGCCCAAAUAACACUAAACCCUCAGAUUAAAGCCAAAAAGUUCCAAUUUUGGUACUCCACCAGCAUACUAUAGACCACAAAUAUCCAUAAAAAUAUGAACUUGCAAACAAAAUCCUACAAAAUUUUGCGUGAAUCAUCACAAGUCUUACACUUCGCCAAUUCAUUAGGGAACAAAUGCUCAGUGCUGGGAGUAAUCCUAUGCAGAAACUCCACAUAAUCAGCCGAAUGAAACUGCGCUAGCUCCACAGGAUACGCUUUGUGCGGCCUCUGCAUUUCACUCCAAAAAAAUAAACUUAAUUCAAAAGAUCAACAAAAAAAAGGGAAAAAAAAGAACAAGAAGAAGGGGAAAAACAAAAAACUAACAUAAACUUCCAUCUUCUUGUGGAGUUGAUAGGCGAGAACUAAAUGAUGGGUCAUACAUAAGCGAUGCGGCUUCAUCGGAUGGUUCGGCCCAAAGUAUACGUUUCCCACAUCCCCUGUAUCAAAAAAUUAUACUGAAAAAUAUGAAAACUUUUUGCAUAAAAAUGGGUGCUCUAACUUUCUAAGCAUACUGAAGGCUAGGGUUUAUGGUGAAUCUUUUUCUUACCGUCAUAAAAGUAGGAGAUUCUGUCCUUGGAGCGCAUUUUGAUGGCGGAGACGGAGAGAGAGAAGGAGGGGAGAAACAGAGGAUUAUUCCUCAGCAGGUUUUCAUCAUCACGAGGCUAUCAGCCAUUGAAGAAGCUUCCUGGGACCGUCGAAUUAGUUAGUAGUAAAAGCAGCAGUAAUUUCUUUGAUAGCUCAGAUUUCUCACGCCUUUUUUCAAAUGGGUGAAAAAAGCGUGUCAGCCUCACAAACUGUUUGAGGGGAUGCCUCCACACCCUGAUCCCGCCUUAAAGACACUAACGAAGCGCUUCCGUUCAAGCUUUAUUUGAUUUGGCUAAAAAUGUUGGUAAAUUUAAGCUUGGGAUAUUACUCUCCUAUUUGUAAAUGACGGUACUUGCACUUUUUAUUCGCUUGAGAAAAGUUAAAUUUGCCCCCAGUUUUUGCUUUAAUGAAAGAAUAAAAACGUUGCCGGCUUUUGAAGAUUGCUCGGGAUCUAGGUUUAUUUGCCGAACUUCUUACUUUCGUAAGAAAAUGUCAAGAAAAAACAUACCACUGGGAUCGUCUAGCUUGGGUUUGUGGGGGUAGUUACUUCUUAGCAGCAACAGCCCGUGGAGGCUUGGCCCUUGUCGGGGCUUCAAUCCCACAUCGGUCUUGGGGGGAUGGGUUUGGGUAGAUAAGUCCCCUAGGCGUCUUCAAAAGUUGCCGGCUUUUGAAAAUUGCCCGGGAAUCUAAGUUUAUUUGUCGAACUUCUUACUUUCGUAAGAAAAUGUCAGGAGGAAAGAAUAAAAACGUUGCCACGGCUCACUUUCGACAAGAAGGAUGAUUGUUAAGUUUAAUCCCCGUUUGGAUUGACAUAUUUUUAAAAAAUUAACUUUUCAAAUACAAUAUUACAAAUAAAAACAUCUUCAAAAACAUUUCAUCCACAUAAUAUAUCCAAAACAACUCAUAAAUAUAUAAAAAAUUAAGAAAAAAUAAAUUCUACAUCAUCUUCUUCCACCCGUCAUCACCACCCCUCCCUCCUCCUCUCUUCUCCCUUCCCUCUCCUUCUCCCGAAUUCACAUGAUCAACGGGCCCAAGAAGCGCAAUUGACAAAUUAUAAAGUGCCAUUAACGUUUCAGCUUGUUAAGACAAAAACAAAAACAAAUUCAAACGAAGCUUAUUGUUCUGUUCAAUAUGAUCCCGCUUAUCUUACAAUUUUACACCCAUAGCAUUAGCAUUGACCUGCAGAUCUCCAAUAUUAACAAAGUCUGUCGUUACUCUUUGGUAGGAACACAACCCCCUUACUACUACAGGUAAGGACUAAAUUGAACGACAAGGUGAGAGGGAUUGAAAAUAAGAGAUCUGAACUCAAGACCUCCCAUAUACCCCAAAAAAAAAAAGAAAAAAAGAAGCAGCCCCUGUUACUGCACUACAUCUUUUUCAGAUUUUGCUACAAGUUUAUGAAAACUAAAAUGGCAAAUAUGUGGUAGCAUCCUAUUUCGGAAAAGUGAGAAUUGCUUGCAGUUUGCUCCUCUCCGCUAUACAAAAGCAUCUAUCAACCAACCACAUCAAGCUAAAAUUACCAGAAGAUAAAUGAGUAACCUCAUUGGAAACUAUCAUGCCCUUGCAUUACCAAGCCGGCACUCGCUUUACCUGACAAGGCAUAAUUUGCACUUGCAGUAUCUCCUGAGGCUGAGGAUUUUACUGAAGGGGUCACGCAAUACGAGUUUGGCAUUUCGCCAUGCACGAUACGAGUGAUAGGCCUCAUAAGAAAAAUGAGCCGUAUCAUUGCGAUGCUGUGAUAUAAUAGUGCCAUAACUGAAUGCCACAGCAAGCUUGAUUACUUAAAGUUAACCAUGUAUUCAAAGAAAACCACAGAAAAUUGCACUGAAUCUUUAAAAGAAGAAGAAAUACACUCAAACAAGUUUGCAACUCAACAAAUUAUUAGCAUUUGAAAGCUAAAUACUUCAAGAACGAGUAACAAGGUCCAACUCAAGUUUUAAUUUGAAGGACAGCCACUAUCAUAAGGGGCCCAUUAUCAGAAGAGGCAUGUUUAUUCCUUCUUUCCAAUCCCAUGAGACAUAUUGUAGAUACCUCUUGCCUGGACAACACAUGGAGGAGAAAGGAAUGCAAGGCCUGUUAGUACUCAUAAUCCAGAAAAUGGAAAAAAAUCUCGCGGUACAGAGUUAACUUACAAUCAUAAAUGAACAGGUCGCCGCCAAAGCGAGAGGAAUGGCAACAGAAGUGAUCUUAUCCAUAGGGUGUUUGAGAUAUGUGUGCUUGUGAAUACUUUGGAAAUACUUUUGCUUCUCAAUAAGCUUUUCUCUUGGCCUAAAAGGUGCUUCACUCAUCCUGCAUAAUUAAAUAAGGUAGACAAGUGAAAAACUGUGGAAAGGAAUGUUCAAUGACGUACUCAUGGAAAUAGAUCAAUAUUGGUAAUGCAAUGCUAUAACAUUUUGAUGAAACUUGUCAAAGUCAUCUGCAUAUUCAAGUUCUCCGACACAAAUAACAGGAGCAAAAUAAAGGCACAGCCCAAGUAACCACUAUGACAUACAUCAACAAGCCGCCAUCAGAAAAUCUUUUUGUAGCUUGGACCAUGAAAUCUUAAAACUGUUCAAAAUUUAAUGUGCCAGUGAAUCUGACACUCAAAGGUUUAGUUCGAUCAACCUACUUCCUUAACAAUUUGGAAAGUUACAAGGACCAUCAGUGACAAUUCAGGACAGAAAAUCUCCAACUGAGAGAUCAUCCAAAAUGAAUGGGAUCACAUAACUGUAAAAUUGCUUUCACCAGAUUUUUAUGCUUGACCAUAGCAGGUCUGACAUAAGGGUAUUAUAAACAUUGAAUCUUCCCAUCCAAUAUGUCAAUAUAAACCACCAGUACAUGUUUCCUGCCAAGUUAACAUUUAUCUCCCAAGUCAGAAAUGACUGGAAUAUGCCGCUUCAAACAACAGAUUACAUAUAGCCUGACAUGGCAACCACCCAAAUUAUGCCCAACUUGCUAACCUUAGCAACACCGCACUGUUUCAUUUAGAUGCCACAAAGUGUAUGCACCUAUGAUAUUCCUGGAACUGAAUUUAAAGACUAGUCGAAUCAUUCAUGGUGAAUACACCCCUGCUCCAUUAUUAACAAACAAAUGCUACCUACAUUAGUCAUGAUACAAAAUUCUUAAACGUUCUAAUUGUUAAAAAUGCCAAAUAUCUAGGCGACCAAUUUAUCUCCUCAAACAAAGGACAAAAGAAAAUAUUUCAAUGCUAAUCAACCCAAUGGACAGUAUACUCAAGAUAGCCAUUAAGGUGAAAGUUAUUUCCGGCUAAUAGUUUCAGCCUUGAUGUUGUUAGAAUUAUUUGCCUAAUAUAUAUUAUUUGAAUUUUUUUCAACUAAAUUUAGCUUUAAGGUAUUUGAGUCAAGAAGUUUUCUGAACUUCUAUGCUUAAAGGUAACAGCCUAACCUUCUGACAAUUGAGGUUGGGAUAACCGAGGAUCAACUUAAGUGUACACCUACCCGACCUAUAGUGCCACACAGACAAAAUCUUCUUCCAUAGAACUAUUGGUCAAAGUACCAUCCACUAUAAAUUCUAGUCGCACGCUCUCUGUCACUUGAUCAAAUUCUUGUACGAGAUAAGCACCUUCAAUAUUAACCUGCCUUGAAGAAUCACAGGCUACCAAAACAAGGACACUAACACAGAAUUACAAUGUCCUUGGAAUGCAACUUAUUUUAAAGAGUGGACAUCAGGUAGAAGAUAAAGAAGCUUGCAUCCUUACUAAACGCAGAUAUGAUUAUUCACUUUUAAAAUUUAAACUCCCUUGAUGGCACCCAACACAUUUUGAUUGAGCUUUAUCCACUACACUGGUAGGCAGUAUCUGCUUGGUCAAAGAGUUCUUAUCAAAAUUGAAGAUAAAGAAGAAAAUGGUUGCAUAUAUGACAGAGAUAAUCAAAAUUUUCAAGCAAAAUAGUUGAAUGAAGAGAAACCGUAGACUGAUGGCAGUAUUGCCGACGUUACAGUUAUCAUCAAUAGCACUUACCCAAAAAAAAAAAGCACUAAUUGAUGUCCACUAAAUGCAAUUUCACUAAAAUCAUCCCUCAAUAAGCUUAUUAGUAAUAUUUCUCACAGAAUUAGAUGAAAACAAAUAGAACCUUAUUACAACAGCUACAAAAAUUCUGCACCAAUAUCAGAGAAUGUAAAUUUAUAAUUCAAUAACAGGAAAUAAAAACUAUAAUAAUCGUAUUCACUAUAAAACCAGAUCCAUUUAACUAAAAGCAGAACAACCAAUUAGUCAGGGAGAAAAAUUUGUCAUCGGAAGAUGCAAUAACAGAUCAGCGAAAGGAGAAUUAAAAGACAAAUGAGAAGGUAAAUUAAUGAAAAUCCGAUGAGUUGAGGCAUUGAAAUAAGGGGUUUUUAAAAGGGCUUACUUGAGAGAAAGUGGGGAAAGUAGAAAACUCCGGUGAAGACGAGGGAGGGGAGGAGCAGCCGCCGGCCGGGAGGGAGGGUAGAGAAGUGAUUAGACAGCUGCGUUGUGGCGAAGACUAAAAUACUAAAAUGAGUGAAAGGGUGGAAGAUUGGCGAAGUUUGUUUCUGCCGGCCGGAUCUGACGGGUGUUGAACUGGAAAUGGGCCUGUCGUUCAAGAUCUGAGAAACCCAUGUUUAGUUUGUCCGUAGUUUGAGUGGCUUUGCUACUGGACCCAAUCAAGCUAAUGGGCCCAAACUUACUAAGAGAUUUAUUAUUUGUUUAGAAAUUAGAGGCUUAUUGAGUCAUCAAAUUAAUCAAAUAAGGCCUUGUUUUUUUUAUCGUUGACUUGUUCGAGCUAGGCACACAUAUUUUGAUAAGACAGAAGUCAGUAUUAUAAAUAAAUUAAUUGAAAAUCAUUCAACACGAUUUGUUUGAUAAAGAAAUAUAACACUGAUGCUAUGCAAAUUUGUUUGUAUUAUAUUUGGAUAUGUAUUCUAAUUUUUCUAAUAUAAUACUACCUUUCUUUUGUUGGUUCCAAUGCAACUUACCUUAUGUACUACUAGCCUUCUUUUUAGAUUUCCUUGAAAAAAUCCCUAUGUUUAUCUUGUUUGGGGAAAUGAGUACUAGUGGCACAUACAUUUAGGUUGGCCCAAGAAGAGAGUACCCUGCUGAAUUGGAGGAGUUUGUGGUUAAGUCCAACAAAAAAGAGAAGAUAAAAUUUCAUUCGAGGUUUUUGUUGUUUCUUCCCCUGUUAUCGAAUCUGUAUUGUGUAGUUUACCUCUUCCACUUGCUACUGUGGAAUACUUUAAAUAAUUAAUCAGAACUUAAGUGUGGAGAAGCUUUCCUGUUUGUACACUAGAGAAAAACAAUGCCGAAGACGUAGUGUUUUGUCUCCGGAGUCAUGACCUAAGAACUUUGAGUUAAUCAGUUUCAAGGUGCAAGCUAGCUCUGCACAUUCGACAGAUAUGGCUAUUUGCUUCCAACCCCCCUUUCUCUUCUUUCGGCCUCUCUCAGUCAGCUGCAUCCACUUCUCCUUGGCAGUCUUGCAUGUGUUAGGCCGAAGACGAAAAUUGUGAUUUUAUGUGCUUAGUUAGGAAAACUGACAAAACUGGACAUGGAAUAAAAGAAGCAUAUUGAUUUGGGAUAAUUUCAGAAACCUUCCCAUGAGGUUUCUGACAAUUUCACUGAGCUCCCGUGAGGUUCGAAAAAUUACACAUAUCUCCCUUGAUUUGAUAGUUUUAGUUGUAAAACCUUAAAAUAAUAUUGACUUGGUCAAAUUUUUAAAUGAAUACCCAAAAAUGUUUACACAUAUCUCCCUUGAUUUGAUAGUUUUAGUUGUAAAACCUUAAAAUAAUAUUGACUUGGUCAAAUUUUUAAAUGAAUACCCAAAAAUGCCCUUGUGUAAUGAGUUUCAAUUUAUUUCCCUAUAGAAUUAUAAGAUUAUCUAAUGUAAUUUUAAGGAAAAGAUGCUGAAUUUUUCAUGUUCAUACUUACUAUUUGAUAAACAACUAUAAUAAUAAUUUUAUCAUUAUGAUAGGAUUUUUUUUAUGGAUUUAGAUUUAUAAGAUAGAAAAUAAAAUAUUAAAAUAAUUGAUUCAGUGUUUAUGAAUUUUUUGAGUAGUGGGAUUAUCAUAAUUUAGUAGUGAUUUUGGGCAAUUUCUUUUUGAUUUAUUGUUAAUUUUAAUACCAAAAAAUAAAAAAAAACAAAGAUUAGCAAAAAAAUCAGAUUACGUAUAAAAUUAACUUAUCAAAAAAAUCAUUAAUUUGACAUUUGGUUACAAUAGAAAUUAGAAAUAAUAAUGGUAAUUUUACAAUUUUAUUGGCAAAAAAUUAAAAUAAAAAGGAAUAAGAAGGAAAAAGAAUGAAAAGAUAAUUUUAAAAACAUUCUAAGUAUAAGCAUACCAAACAAGGGAAUUCAUUAAAAUAUUUAAGGGUAGUAUUGUUAUUUUAAAUGACAAGGGCGGUAUGUGUAAUUUUUCAAACCUUAGGGAAGCUUAGUGAAAUUGUCAGAAACCUUAGGGGAGGUUUCUGAAAUUAUCCCUAUUGAUUUUGAUGAAACUUCAUAAAUAGAACAUGCCUAGACAGUGGGAUCAAUGGUUUCUGCUGGUAUAAACUACAAAGUAUAAAGAGCACAAGCAGUGGUGGAUAUCCUUAGCCAUCAAGGCGCUUGGCCGCUUCUUACCGAUGACCAUUUAAAGAAUUGUAUCGUAUAAUUUGAGCCCACGUAACGUUAGAGUAAAUACGUCCGGAAUCUGAGGCCAUCAAUCUUAAUCUAAGAAGAUGAUCAAUCUUAAUCCAAGAAAAUAGGACCAAAUGUUGUUGCAGUCCCAGCGUACUCUCUUGCUGAUACGUUACGCCAAGACUGCAGAUUACGAAUAGUCUACCAUAACAUUUAUUUUGUAUUUGGUCGGUCAUGAUCUUACUACCAAGAAAAAAAAUAAAGAUUUUUUUUUUUUUUGCAUUUUCUUUUCCAAAUGUUUAAAGCUUCAAUGGGGAUUACUCUUCCGAGGUUAGUGCUGAUAAUGAGGUAACAACAUGUUUAGCUUAAUUAAUCUUUGAUCAUCUCGAUUGUUAAUUAUCCUAUGAAUGGUUCAUGAUUCUUCAAAGGACUGCAGUUCCACCGCCAUGGCCAUUAUUAUGUACAUAGAAUAAUCUUUAAGGCUGUGCUACUUUGUCAAACAAAUGCAUAAAAAUCAACACCUUCUGUAUCGAUUGCCAACAUAGUUAAGCCUUCAAGUAUGACAUGUAGCUGGGAAAAACCAGCAGGUUUGGAAGAAGACUGCAGCAAUGACCUAUUUUUCAUGACUUCUGUCGAAAACUGAAGUUAGGGUUUUGGAGCUGAGACUUAGAGAGGUACUAAAAAGUCUACGAUCAAUAUAGUGCCAUCGUCUGUACUGGUGCUUUAAAAUUCAACAUGAAGCUGAGAGCCUGAAGGCUGAAAGUCAUAUGGAAACUCCUUGGAGGCUCUGCCGCUCAACAUGAGAAGAAAAAUGCCUGGAUAUUAAGAUUGCAGUCAAGAAUCACCUUGUUUACCACCAUAAAACUGAAGUUUCAAUGCAAUUAUGGUCCAUAGGCAAGGCAAGUGUAUGUGGUCAGGUGGACUCAUUAAAAUCAAAAGCCCCUCCAUGUUGAAUUUAUCAAAGUACCAUCUCUAGUGGGGACGGAUGAAUUUGGUGGUUUGGGCCGACCUUUGAAAUUGAUGGUUCAAUAAUUCGGUAACACAUUUUAGACAUGGGGAGAUAAUACUACUGUCCUGUGCUUAUCUGAAUUGUAGCUUCACAGGUUCUAUAAACUUGACCACAAACUAAUGUCCUUUAGCCAAUUUGCCUUGCUUUUUUCACAAAUGACUUCUACGAUAUUCCCAGUUCCUCCUCCGGUAAAAUCAAUAUAUUGCAUGCAUGCCUAUGAAAUCGAGCAAUUGUUUCUUUUCACUGCUUAAUCCUCCAGCAUCCUUCGUUAUCUUUUACCUCAAAAUACAGCCAAGAUUUCUACUCCUCUGAAUGUUUCAGAAGAAUAGUGGCAUAUGCGUGGGAUCCUUUGGCUUCAUGUUUUGUGCUUUGACUUCUUCUCUAUUAAUAACACACUUGGAAUUUGUGGAUGGUGGGCAAUUUCCUUUAGAACUUAUAAAUAUCACUUUUGAGACCAAUCACCUCUUAAUUGUUGAGAGAAAACGGUGCGGAAAUUACUGAUCAAGGAAAAAUAGUGUAAUAGAUAAUCUGCCAGGGGGACAAAGCCCAUAAUGAUGGGAACGUGGUUGGCUUAUUCAAAUAUCAUGCUUCAAAUUUCCCUUACUAUUUUACAUGUCCCUUUGCCGCAGAAUACUUUAUCCAAAGGAUCUAUCUUAGAAAUUUCUGCUAAAACUACUAAUUAGUCAUGUCAUGCUGCCCUUGCAUCGUGGGAAACCCUAGGAUCAUUGGCGUGAAAAGUAUGUACGAGUACUAUUUAGGGAGUCCACCAAAAAGCCCUUCUAGAUGAGACUUGGUCCUUAACUCCGGUGCUCCAUUGUACGGUUGUCUGCUGUUCAACGCUGAAGAAGGCUUUUCCAAGACAGACAUUUGGUAGUUGGACAGAAGCUGAAAAUAUACAGCCAUGCUAACCAGGCAGAAAACAGCUAAGUAACUGAGGCUAUCAAUUCUUUCAUACAAGGACACCUCUUGGGUGAAUUCUUAGUUUAUGAUGGAAAAAAAAAAGAAUUCCACAACGAGGGCGGUUCUUGGAGUGUGUUCUGCAAAUAGGGGUCUUCGCAUUCCGAAAAUGCGAGCUCAGUGAGCUCGCAUUCCGGAAAUGCGAGCUCGAAUUGGAGCGCUCACUGAGAGCUGGCGCCAAGACAAGGCUACGUUACAGUCUUCGUCGGCUUGGCGUGGCAUAGGUACAGGUGCUGGUGGAUGUAGUCGCAUUGUCUCUUUGACAAUGGCCUGUAGGUAGACUAAAUUCUUGAUAUCAGAUUCUUCUACCCAUCUCUCUUUACCAACAAAAGAGUCAAUCUCUUCCUGGACUUUUUGCAAAACGUGCCUAUGGUUCAGUAGCAGGGAGAUAACCCAGCUCAACGCCCUUGAUGUGGUACUAGUUCCUGCUACAAUAAGCACCUGCAAGCAAAAAAAUAAUAAUAAUAAUAAUGAAAAGUAACAAAUAGAACUAUGCAUGUGUACUUUUUCCCCCAUUUAAAUGUAUUAUAAUAAAAUAACGUAUUUCCAACCGUACAAUUACCAAUUUUUUUUAUUAUAAAAGAAUUAUGCAUGUAUAGUAAAUUAUAUUAAGUUUGAAUUUCAUUUUAAAUUUCGUAAAUUUCAUUUUAAAUUUUUUUCCUAACAAGUUUGAAUUUAAUUUUCUGAAAGUCAUACUUAUAAAUGCGAAAUCUAACAAAAAAGUUAAAUACAAUUUUUGGAGGACAAAUUUAUCAAAUGCGAGCUAUUUGCAAAAUUUUAAAUAUUUGCAAAAUUAAAAAAAAAACAUUUAGGAGCUCGCAUUUAGCUCUUACUAUUUUCUGGAAAAAAUUCUCUAGCUCGGACAUCCACUCAUGAUAGUCAGCUUCGUUUCUUUGCUUUGCCUGCCCGCUAUUUCUGAAAGAAAUAGAGUCAAGUGUAAUUUUUUUUUCUUUUUGGAAGAUUUGCAGUUCAAGAAAACUAACAUUGAAGUCUCUGAUGCCUCCAGUGCGGGGUGAAUUCUUAGUUUGUGAUGAAAAAAAAAAAGAAUUCUACAACGAGGGCGGAUUUUGAAGUUGUUUCUACAAAUGGGGUCUUCGCAUUUUGAGAAUGCGAGCUCAGCUCAUGAGCUCGCAUUCUCAAAAUGCGAGCUCAAUGCGAGCUCGCAUUUUCAGAAUGCGAGCUCACCGAGCUCGCACUAUCCUGCAUCCAGCGCCAAGACCCAUUUCGAAAAAAAAAAACAAAAGUGAGUGGGAGAAGCAGAACACAGAAAGAGCUGGUUGAAUAGCCGUCGAACAGCAAAACAAAGAAUUCGGAAUUGUUGAAUAGCAAAACAAAGAAAACAGAGCUGGUUUCUGCACAUUGAAGCAUCCAAAGAUCGGAGCAGACCGGAGCAUCCAAAGACUGGUUUCGCGUUUGCCGCUUCCCAAAAUUUGCCAGCAUUGCCGUCCCAUUGCUACUGUCAAACAGCAUAAAGGUUAGGCUUUUGCACCUGCAAUGCCUCACGUAUAGCAUUUUAAGUUUAAUGAAUACUUGAAUACUUUCAUCCAAGGGCAAGUUCAGAUUUGUUGUGAAAUUUGGGUGUAAAUGUGAUGUGGGUUGUGCUUAUUUUUGCAAUUUUUGUGGUGGAUUUGAGGAAAUACGUUAUAUUUUUUGAAUUCGGGCAAUUUUUGUGUUUCCAAUUUGUUGCAGUUUAUUUGCAGUUUCUGCAAUUAGUGCAGAAAAAGCAUGAUCCGUGACAGGUGCCGAACCUGUGCAAUAAUAAUUACUAAAAAGUCCUAAUUACCACCUCAAUUAAAUAAUUAUAGAACAAAACCAAGUACUGGAGCAGGGACCCUAGGUGUGCAAUGGGUUACUUGAUUCACCCUGUUCCCGAAGAGUUUGCUUGAUCCGAUAUACCGGGUUUAUCUAUAAAAAUACUAAUUUUGCGUACAAUGGCAAGUAGGGUCGAUUCCACAGGGAGCAGGUAGGAAAUUAUUUCUUUCCAAAUCAGUAGAACAAAAUUGGGGAAUUUUCAAUGGGAGAGAAAUAAAUAAAAUAAAAGUAAAAUAAAAAUAAAGCGAACUAAAUUCAAAACCAACUCACAAAGCACAAUUAACUAAAAAUAGCAAGUAAUAAAAGUCUACCCAAAGGAUCAACUGCUCGGGCACGGUCCAAUUAAAUGAUCAUCGAUGCAAAGAUAUUUCACCCAUUCAUCACUAGGUUGGUUAUAGUUAUCAAUAAGCUCUGACAACCAGUUCUUCCUUACCUUUUCGACAGUCAAGGUACGACCAUUGACUGCUUCCCUAAACAGAUAACAACCCUAGGUACGACCAUAGGAAUUUAAUUACCCAAUUGCAUUAAAGUUAGAAGAACCCAACCCUAACCAAUAAACACGCUAAGAGGGUUUAUUUAAGCUAGAUCCUGCGUUUUCCCAUCAUAAAACCAAUUAUGGUGGUUGCCACGGGGUGUUAACUAAAUGAACAAUUACGGAUUCUAUUUAAUUAACGUGGCAGUAGGCUAUUAACCGGAGCUCAUCUUUAACCUCGCAUUUCAUGAAUGCGAGCUCACUGACUCGCAUUUCGCAAAUGCGAAGACCCUCGGACGGAAUGCUAUGCCAAAAUCACCCCUUUUGUAGAAUUUUUUUAAAAUUCAUCACAAAAUUAGAAAUUUCUCUCCAGUGCGGGCCCCCUAACGCUUUUGGUGCUAACAGGGGCCUAGCCAUCUUCUGAGCUAGCCUUUCCAGUUCAUGACGAUUGGUGCUAAUCAGGGAAGUGGAAUUCAUUCUCUGACCCAGGAGCUCCUUUCUUUUUUUAGGAAUAUAGAGGCUGCUAGAGAGCUCUGGGGGAGCUAGUAAAAAAAAUUAAAUUAGAGCUCGCAUUUGCGGAAUACGAGCUCAAUAAGUAGAGCUCGCAUUUCGCGAAUGCGAGCUCUAUUCUAACCUCGCAUUCGUGAAAUGCGAGCUCUACUGAGCUCGCAUUCCACGAAUGCGAAGACCCCCGGACGGAAUCCAUUACUAAAAUCACCCCUUUUGUAGAAUUUUUUUAAAAUUCAUCACAAAAUUAGAAAUUUCUCGACACCUCUUUAGACUUUAUAGUUUAUUCCCAUUACAUGUUUUCACAUGUAAUGGAUUUGGUUCUCGGGUGGUGACACUAAGAUAUAGUAGUAUUCAGAGGAUGUAGAUGCUAAUAUAACAGACGUAGGCACUAACACAAUAAAAUGAAAAAAUACCAUAGAACCUUGGUCCCGAACAUUGAAGGGACUAAAGUGAUGGGAUAACUAUUUGUUUAUCCAAUGUGGGCUGAUAUUGCUACUAAUGCAACCGCUGUUGUCUGUAAAUGUCAAGAGAUGUAUGAGAUAUCUAACUAGAAUUAGGUUCAUCCUGUAAAGAUUAUGUGGUGAAAUUUUUGCCUUUCAAUAUACUCCAAACUUGAAUAUGGGAGAUACGCAUGUCUUGAACUAACUAACGAAAUUCUGAGAAGUACAUCAAACAAAGGUUAAAAAUUUCUUGCUUAAAAAAGAAUAAUGAAUUGAGGAGUAGUAUGAAAUUCUUAAUUGACACAUUGUAGUUUGCAUGCAUGGCAUAGGUGGCUCCUCACUCUAUUGGGAGUGGUAUUUAUAUAUGGUUUUGAACACACUUUCCUUGACUCAUUCUUUAACCGGAUGCAGCAACACCAACUAAUCAAGCUUAAAGGAGUACGUAAGAAGGGAACCCUAUAUAUGGCCAUUGGUCAAAUUGCAUUACAAUUCCUCAACAUACUUCCACUGUCACAUCCUUCCACAAAUUCCACUAUCAUGUAGUAAUAAUAAUAUUCUAUAAAUGAUGCCAUUGUGAGUUAGUUACACUCUCAUGUAAACUACUCCUAUUGAGUGAAUGGCCACAUAGUUCGCAUAAUUGACUGUUUCAUUUAGUCUAUUUGGAUAGUGAUUAUUUGUUAAAUUUUGUUUAUUUGUAUUAUCGACAUAUUUUUCCAUCAUAUUUUUAUUUCACAUAAAUCAGAUUAAAAAAAGUGCUAUAAUUUUUUUUUUCAAAAAAUUAUUCUAAAUAAUCUACUAUCCAAACUUAGCAUAUUAAUAAUAUGAUGAGAAAUGUCUUAGAGGAUGAAAUUUUACUGUACUUUUAAGUUAAUUGUUCCACCAAAAAGAUAUCAGCUGAAUGUCUUAGUGAUUGUUCCGAUAUAUAAUACUAAUGAAAAGUGCGUCCUUUCUUUUUAGAUUAAAUACCACAUUUUCUCGACAUUUUACGAGGCAAUAAAUAAUAUAACAUGUACUCCUCACUUAAGAGGAGGGCAGUAUCGGAGAAGAGAACAUAAGAGGAAAUUAUUACUCCUAUAAUUAGGCAUUUUAAUAUGUAUCUUGGUCUGGUUGUCAAAGCCUGCAAUCUAUAUAUUAUCUACAAAGAAAUCUUUUCUUUUUUCAAUUCCCUGCACAGAACUUGAGAUACGUGGAAUUUCUUGCUUUUGACUUGUUUAAACAAAGCAGUGGUCAUUAGAUUUAUUUCGGCACACAUUUGCUUACAACUGACCAGGAAUGUCGCAAACAUUAAUUUAUGUUUACGAUAGUUUGCAAUGCAAAACUGACGUACCAUAUGGUCCUCUGUUUGCACUUUUGGAAUAUCUUAUUUGAUCGACUGAUGUUCAAUCCUCAACCAAUUAGUGUAUUCCCUCCUUUAUUUAAUAUAUAGGAUAAAUUAUACUUUAUUCCCCUAUAGUUUAGCACUUUUUUACGUAACUCACUAUAGUUUUAAAAGUUAUAUAUAUAGCAUUCUCAUGGUUUGAACUGAAGUGUUAAAGUGACAGAAUUUGCAUUUCAUAAUGGAAUCAACUAAAAUGUCAAAAAUACCUUUAUGUAAAGUUAGAAAUCAUUUAUUAACCAUAGAGGGGUUAUGCAUAUAUUUUAAAAACUAUAAGGGGUUAUGUGGUAAAACACUAAAUCGUAAGGAGUUUCGUGGUAAAACAUAAAACUAUAAGGAGUUAAAGUGUUAUGCAUAUUAUGCAUAUAUAUUUUGGUUACUUUAACCAUUUUAAUUCUUGAAUAAGAGUAAUCUCGACAUUUUCGUGGGUUCCAUUACAAAGGAUCAUUUUCAUCAAUUUGACACUUUAAUCCAAAUUAUGAAAAAUUAUAUAUAACUUUUAAAAUCACAGGACGGUCAUGUGAAAAAUUGCUAAACUACAGAGAGUAAAGUGUAUUUUUUCCUAAUACACACACAUACAUACAUGACCUGUAAGUGAGAAAUUUUGGAUUUGAACCUUUAAAAAAAAUAUAUGAAACGGUAAAAUUAAUCUACACCUUUUCUGAUAUGAAAAAUAGGAAAUUCAUGUUCACUAAGGCAUAGUUAUAGACUGUAACUCAACGCUUAAUCUCUACUAUAGCUAAAUUAAACUUUCAAUAUUUAUAAGGCAUAUAGUACUUAGAGAACAAUUCAAGAUCAGCCGAUCAAAAUUCAAAAGUCUACAAGAAGACCAAGUAAAAGUGUUUAUUGACUUAAUUAUCAGGCCAAGAAUGAAUCUCAUAAUAUUUAUUAGGAAUCCUUUGUGCAGGGGAUUACGCAUAUAUAAUAUGACGUUGACUUCAAUCUGAUCACAGUAGAAUUGGGCAGAUGUAGAAUUGGUCAGUUCCUUCUCCACAACGAUUAAUCUAAUCACGGGAGCAUAAUCCUGAGCUCUGUUAAUCAAACAUUUUCAAUUAUGGAAUAACAUCUGACGAAUGAAAUGCGACCUUUUAACACACGGUCGGGGAUGAAUGUCCAUACGCAGAUAGCUAAAGUAUGAGUUUGUUAUAUCUCCAAAACCAUUGGUGGAUCCCUAGCUGCAAACAUUAGAGUAAUUGAAUUUGACCUUAAUUAGGUAGGAAUCCCAUGGGACUAGGAGUCAUCAAUUUUCUGAAUUUUGGCAGCUAACUUUUAUGUUGCACUGUAUCCCACUUUUACAGAUAGUUGGGAUGCCCGUCUGGAUUGUUAUCGUUAUUAAAGGGAGUUUUUUCUGUAGAAAAAUGUACCGUAAAAAUUUGAUGCAUAUGAGAUAAAAAAUGAUUUAAAAAAAAAUAGCAAUCCAAAGUAGGAUAACCCUCUAUCUUUGUCCUAACUGUCUUUUCCUAACUAUCGUUACAUCCCAUGAUCUUCUUCCUUUUUAUUUUUUCUAUUUUUUUUUUACAGGUUACAAUCCAUAAUCUCUCCAAAUCAGAAAAGAAAGAGAGCCAGAAAAAGAUAAAGAAAAACAAAAAGAGACAGCAAUUGUAUUUCGUAGAAGUGAAGAUAUGUGGUAAGUAUCCUUGUGUUAUCAUUAUUAUUAUCAUUUUGUUUUGGAAAACCAAAUUUGACGCUGUCCCGGAACGAUCUUGUGGAGGUCAAUCAACACACACUAGAGUAUUAAUCAAUGGCACUAUCUACCUCAAAUACAUAUUUAAAGCAGCACGCCAGUUGGAGUGACCGCUGUAUUUUAUCUAGUACUACUAAAGAAUUGAAGAAGAAACGAGACCCUCUAUUUCCUGGGCACAUCAAUUGGAUGCGUUAAUAGUACAGAGUAUUAAAUUCUCAGCAACUAAUUGCCCCAUAGUGAAACUUGAGGUCACAAGUUCGAGUCUCCGCGCUGCUGGAUUCCUUCGCGCACUUAACGUGUUCGGGCCGAGUUGGGGCGCCGGGCCCGGGCUGCAGGGAAUUAGUCGGGCCCCGUAAGGAUUGACCCGGACACCCUGUGUCGAAAAAAAAAAAAAAAAAAAAAAAAUUGCCCCCAACAAUUCUCCUUUUUUUUUUUCAUUUUUUGCCACCAAAGCAGAAAAAUAAAAAUAAAAAAAUUGGUUCACCAGCUUUUAUUUUAUAGUAAUUUUUACUAUACCAAUGGUGUAUACUCUUGCAGCACUGAAAACAUACUGUAUUUGUAAAAUUUAAAAUUCAAAUUCAAGUUUGCAUAACUUAUCAUGCAUGCAAACUUAUUAUUCGAUUAGUGUAUUAUAUAUUGACUUGUUAUCGAAAAGAUUAAUCUUUUCAUUUUACACAUUAUACAUAGUAAAGUUGUGUACAUAGUACUACAGUUGGUGCUGUUUGCUGAACAACUGGGUGAUGCUUCAGUUGCAUCAACACGCAAUAUGUUAAAGGUCUCCAAUGUUGUCAAAUUCAGAUCAGAGCGGGAUCCACUUGAACACAACUUGAAGUCUAAACCCCAAAGUCAGCAAAGUUGUCAAAAAUAAAAAAAAACCACGUCUUAGAUUUUGUUUGUCUUUUGCUUUCAUACUAUAGAUUAGCUUACUUUUUAUUUAUUUGGUCGGUUUCGAAGCUCAUGCCUUGCAAAAGCCGACACAGUGUUAAACAUGGUGUCUGCAACGAGGGUGCGAAUUUCACCUGUAAUAAAAAUUUUUUUAAAAAAGUGUCAAAAUAGUCUUUUGAUUUGAUCGAAUUUGUGUAUCUAUUAAUGUCUGAUAUCUUCUUUAAUCUAGUUGGAUCUAUAUACUUGCUAAUCCCUAAUAUAAUCUCUUUAAUCUUCUCUUUCUGUAAAAUAUGAUAUAUUAGCUUAUAAAAAUAUUAUUAUUGCGGCAAAAAAAUUCUUUUAUUCAACUUAAUAAAAUUUAAGCUUGGCAUCCUUUUCCCGUGCACGAGAUUUUGCCCAAAAAAAAAAAAAAGGUGUCUGCAAUGCAACCCUGAAGGUCAAGAAUUAUAGCAAGUGAUGAUUUGUUUAGUUAAUGGGGAGUGAUGAUUUCUUGGUAAUUUGAUAGUACCUUAACGGUUUCAAUUUGGACCAAAAAUUUUCAACCUUUUCAUACCGAUGAAUCUAACAUGUCGGCAGCUUUCAGUUCACGAUUUUCUCGUCCGAAUUUUGUUCUUCUAGAAGGCGAUUAAUGAGAACCACCAGGUACUAAAGGGGAGACAUUAAUGUGUGUUUGAAUUUGCUACCAAUUCAUAAAACAAUUGGUAAAGGGGAGUAGUACCAUUAUGCAUGUAAUCUUGCUUUGCUUCUCCAUAAACAUAUUCUAAAGUCUAAUAAUACGCAGAAAAUGGCCUUCUUCAGAGAUGUCCAUUUUUACUGGAUAGUAAUUAAAGAAACGAUAAAAUUUUUCUACAAUGACAAAAUAUACACAUUAUAUUAAUGUGAGUGAUGCUUUAAGGAAAAGCUUGUGAGAUUACUGUGCCACUAAUCCCACUUUUGUUAUAAGAUGGAUUAUCCAAGCUACAAAUGUAAUUUCAUUUUAUCUGUUCUGCUGUAAAGUUAAUGCAAAAUACCGUCCUACCACAUGAAAUUUGUUUUUCCAGUAAUUUUUUUUUUGGUCAUUCAUUCAAGAAAUUCUUGUCAUUUCAAGGUUGCAAGAUUGUGUUAGAGCUUAAUGUUCAAUUACAUAAUUUAAUGGUAGUGUAGGAUCACUAGACACAAACAGUUUGAGGAGGUAAAUAGUGUAAAAUAAUAUAAUUUGAUGGGCUUAAAGUGCAAUGCUGCAAGGUCGAAUGAAAGACUAAUUGGUUUUGACUUGUUACAUGAUCACUUGGUCUUGUCAAAACAAGAAAAUAAAGACAAUAAAUUGCAACCUACUUGGUAAGAAAAUUAAGACAUUUUAAUUGUAACUAAUAGAUUUGAAUUAUUAAUGGGAUAAGUGGAGAAUCACCGUUAAUCUUCUUUAAAAAAAAAGGUAAAAAGUUGGGGAGAUUACAUCUUAAUUAGGGAAGAGCUUAAUGAGCCUGAUGAUGCACUGGAAAUUUUAAAUUUAGGCAUAGUAAUAUGUAUGGAUGUAUGUAUGUGUGCAUGUGUAAGUACGUAUCUAUGAAAGCAUGCAUGCGUGUGCCCAUAUAUUUUGAUAAAGAGACAAUUACAUAUUCACUCAAAACUGCUAUAUUAAUGACAACAAGUAUAUCAAAGAAUACAAUAAAUAGAAAUAAAUUUCUUCAAAUUUGAAGGAAUAAUAAAAGAUACUGAUAUAAAACUCUAAAUUUUCUUACAAACAAAUACUAACCAUUACUGCUUUUCUAGUUGUUGGACAAUUUGAUUCGAAUAAUGUUUGAAUGUAUUCAUUGAUAAGUUGUACACUAUGACAAAUUAAUGAGUUAAAUACAGAUUUAGUUUUGAAAUGGUGUCAAAUUAAAAAUCUCAAAUCAAACUAAUGUAAUGUGACAAAAUCAAUUGUCGUCCAAAUUUAACUGACGCAGUAAUAACUUUUAUUUCAUCUCUUUUUUUGUUUGAAAAAAAAAAUUUAACUAUACAAGGGAGAAAGAGGAUAUUCACGUUCAAAGAGCUAAAAAGUCAAUUGUCAUCCAAAUUUCUAUCCUAUGUUUUUUUUAAAAAAAAAACCCUAGAAUUCAAAAUUAGGUAAAAUUUGUCCAUUAAAUUUUUAUGUACCAUUAAUGUUUGUGUGUACACAUUAGCAAAUGUAAAUGUAUACAACACAUGCAUAAAGUAAAUUUUAAAUUUGAAAUUAGAUUAUGUAGCUUUUAUACUUGCUAGUGUAAUUUUAAUUAAUAUUCCUAUACGAGUAGUGCAUUAAACAUUAAUUCAGAAAUUAUUCCCAAAAAAUACAAAAGAUUAAACCAUUAUUUGCAGAUAUUUUUCUCUUCUCUUGAAGAUUAAUUAGCUAACACAGACACACGCACAGAGAGGGAGAGAGAGAGCGAAAAGAGAGAGAAUAUUCACAUUUAAAGACACUAAAGCAAAUUAUUGUCCAAACAAUAAUCCUAACAACAGAAGAUCCCCAUUAAGAAUUAAUACUCAUAGCCAUUAUAUUACCCUAGAAACAAAAUUAAAAAAAAAAUCCCGCAGGAAUUUAACAAUACAGAAACGGCCCACCUCGCACGCGCUUUCAUGAUAUAAACAACUUAAAGCCGCAGAGAAGCUUCCCAAACUUGGUCAAAAGAUUACAACAAAAAACCACUUUUGCCCAAUUAAACAAAUUUCUGCAAUUAUCAAGUCAAGAAACCUCACCCAAAAUGUUCCCCUACUCCUCACCACAGUCCAUUCCCCUACAUCUCACAUCAUGACCGUUCAUUCUCAUCUGGCGGUCACUAUGAAUCCACACCACCAAUUGCUGCCCUUUUUUGAAGUUUCAACGUUCCUUCAUUUUCAACCGCGGGAACCUAACUGCUGGAACUGGAUGUGCCCUCUAUUUGACCAGGCCUUGAGUAAUGAAUACAGUACUCGAAUUCAAACGCUUUGCGAUUUCUUUCUUUCUUUUUUUUUUUUUUUUUUAUAAUUCGCCCAGAACAAAGAAGAGUUCUUGCUUUAUUGCUUACCUUAACGGUUAGCACUUAGCACCCCACAUUGACUAUCUAAGUGUGUAUAUAUAUAGCUUUCUAAACGAACAGUCUGUUAAACACAACAUCUCAGUUUCUCCUUUGGCCAAAAGGGCUGCUAGAGAAACUGACUGAACACGAAGAAGUUGGGAAUCAAGAUUCAAUUCGUUCAUUCUUUGUGCACUGUUGGUAGUCUUGUAGCGUGCAGUUUUCUGUCCCUGGAGUUUUAUUUCUGACUUUUGUUGUAUAGUUUGAGGUGAAGAAAAGAAAAGAAUAGAAGGGGUCUCGGAAAGGAAGUGAUCAGCGAGAGUUGGAAACAAUGGCUGCUUUUGCAGGGGAUGAUUUGUCGAGGGCGACGAGUAGUAGGAGGAGUUGGGGGUCAGGGAGUGUGAGGGGGAGUGUGAGGGAGAUUUGGCAAGGUCCACCUGAUAUUUUUGUUAGGAAUAGUACUAGGAGAGAAAUGGUGGAUGAUGAAGAGGAGCUCAAGUGGGCUGCUAUUGAGAGGCUGCCUACUUAUGAUAGGAUGAGAAAAGGGAUGCUUAAGCAAGUGGUGAGUAAUGGAAGAGUGAUCUCAAAUGAGGUUGAUGUUACUAAUCUUGGUGCUCAGGAUAAGAAGCAGUUAUUGGAUAGUAUUCUUAAAGUUGUUGAAGAUGACAAUGAGAGGUUCCUUACAAGACUCCGAGAUCGAACUGACAGGUGAAUGUUCUCUCAGCUAUCUUGCUAUUGUCAUCUCUUUGAUUACUGUAAAAAAAAUGAUGUUAAAAGUAGCUUUGGGCUUCACAAUUUUGGAACUUAAUAGGUUUCCUGUUUUGAUGCUUUUAUAUGAUGAUCAGAACAAUCUUGUGAAGGUUUUUGACAGCUUUUGUUGGGAUUUGGAGAUAACUAAUGUUUUGACUUGUUUGGUCGAGUGCAGGGUGGGUAUUGAGAUUCCAAAGAUUGAAGUGAGAUUCCAGAAUUUAUCUAUAGAGGGAGAUGCAUAUGUUGGCACCAGAGCACUUCCAACUCUGUGGAACUCCACCCUCAACACGCUUGAGGUGAUUAGCUGUUCUGUUCCUCCCCUGCGUCUUGACACAGUUCAUGGAACUAAUAUUUAGUUGAAUGGGAUUUCCCACAACUUAAGUUUCUUAAUUCUCCGGUGUUAGUUUUAUUGGUAAAUAACGGUGAAUGCUUAAUUAGAUGCACUACGUCGAAGAACUGCAAUUUUCGUUAAUAAUCUUAUCAAGGGGAACAUAGGAAAAUGGUUGAAAUAGGGAAGAUAGAGCUUUUUAUACAGUUUCUGAAGUAGAAAGAUUGAGGGGUUUUACAUUUAAGCGUCCUGUUAUGGUUCUUUUCCAGAAUUUAUUUUUUUGUCCGAUAAUUGCUGUAUCCUAGUUCUGAAGUAUUAUUCCAUUCAUUUUUAUGUUUGAUUAGGCUGCUAUUGGAUUGAUUGGACUUGCUCAAUCAAAGAAAAGAGUUGUUAGAAUUCUUGAAGGUGUGAGUGGAAUUGUUAGACCAACAAGGUAUGCUUCUCAGAAUUUCUAAUUAGAACUCUUUUUUUUUUUUUUUUAAAUUAGUUUAUCUAACUCUUGGAUAUUGUCUUUUAAUCUAAAUUUUAAGAUUAGCUCUUCCAUCAUGUUCUUACACUUCUGCUUGAAAUUUACUGCUUUUUCAGGAUGACACUACUGCUUGGGCCUCCCGGUUCAGGAAAAACUACCUUACUGAAAGCUUUGGCAGGCAAAGCUGAUGAUGAUCUGAGAGUAUGUCCCCUCCCCCCACCCCUUUCCUUUUAGACGUUUUCGUUAUUUGUCAUUCUUGAUGAGUUGCUGAUUGUAAGUGAAUGAACAGGUCACUGGAAAAAUCACCUACUGUGGUCAUGAAUUCCAUGAAUUUGUUCCUCAGAGAACAAGUGCUUAUAUCAGCCAGCAUGAUCUUCAUUAUGGUGAAAUGACAGUACGUGAGACAAUGGAUUUUGCUGGUAGAUGCUUGGGAGUAGGAACCAGAUAUGAUAUGCUGGUGGAGUUGUCAAGAAGGGAGAGAGAAGCAGGUAUUAAACCAGAUCCUGAGAUUGAUGCGUUCAUGAAAGCCACAGCCAUGGCGGGACAGGAAACCAGCUUGAUUACUGAUUAUGUGCUGAAGGUCCGUUCCUCAGAACCCUUUUUUUCUUUGGGGAUUAUGAUGUCAUUCAGACAAGACUAAUGUGCUCAUAAUGUUCCAACAGAUUCUUGGAUUGGACAUUUGUGCUGAUAUUAUGGUGGGAGAUGACAUGAGAAGAGGCAUUUCUGGUGGUCAGAAGAAGCGUGUUACCACUGGUAUGCACGCAUCGAUUACCGAAAGCUCUAGGCAGUAUAAAACGAUUCAAGUAUCACAUAUUUGAAUAAAAUUCUAAUGUGCAGCUCCCGAUUCAUUAUGCUUUUCAACUAGAAGAAAGAUACACUACUAUGUUUUGAAUUGACAUUUUGCAGCGUAAACAGGCUUUAUCAUCUUUUGAGUUUUAAGUGAUCUUUCUUCACGCAUCAAAUCGUCUGGACUAACGUUGUGAUUGUGUCAAAUGCAGCUGAAAUGUUGGUAGGACCAGCAAAAGCAUUUUUCAUGGAUGAAAUAUCAACAGGACUGGACAGUUCCACCACUUUUCAAAUAGUGAAGUUCAUGAGACAGAUGGUUCAUAUUAAUGAUAUAACCAUGGUCAUCUCUCUCUUACAGCCAGCGCCCGAGACAUUCAAUCUUUUUGAUGAUGUCAUCCUACUUUCUGAUGGGCGGAUUGUCUAUCAGGGUCCACGUGAUAAUAUUCUUGAGUUCUUCGAGUACAUGGGAUUUAAAUGUCCUGAAAGGAAAGGAAUUGCAGACUUUCUGCAGGAGGUUACCUCAAAGAAGGACCAACAGCAGUAUUGGUACAGAAAAAACCAGCCUUUUAGAUAUGUCUCUUCAGAGGAUUUCGCAAAUGCGUUCAAUUCCUUCCAUGUAGGACAACGACUUACAGCAGACCUUAGAGUUCCUUAUGAUAAGGCCAGAACCCACCCUGCAGCAUUGGUUAAAGAGAAGUAUGGAAUUUCGAAUUGGGAUCUCUUCAAGGCAUGCUUUGAUCGUGAAUGGCUGCUCAUGAAGCGGAGUGCUUUUGUUUUCAUAUUUAAAACAACACAAAUCACUAUCAUGGCCUUAAUUGCCCUGACGGUGUUUUUAAGAACAGAAAUGAAAACUGGUCACGUGAAUGAUGCUGCUAAGUUUUGGGGAGCAUUGUUUUUCAGUCUUAUCAAUGUGAUGUUCAAUGGAAUGGCUGAGCUGGCCAUGACAGUUUUCAGGCUUCCUGUUUUUUUCAAGCAGAGGGACUGUUUGUUCUACCCAGCUUGGGCAUUUGCUCUGCCAAUUUGGGUCCUCCGUAUUCCCAUUUCAGUCAUGGAGUCCGUAAUAUGGAUCAUUUUCACGUAUUACACCAUUGGUUUUGCGCCUUCUGCAGCCAGGUAAGUUCAAGUUCAUGCAAUUUCGUUGAAGCUUUUAGUCAAUUCUUGGCAGGCAUCUAAUAAUGCUUUUCUUUAUUUUUAUCUUCAAUGUAUCAGGUUCUUCAAACAGCUCUUGGCAUUCAUUGGCAUCCAUCAGAUGGCUCUCUCUUUGUUUCGUUUCAUUGCUGCAGCUGGAAGAGCACAAGUUGUAGCAAACACGCUUGGAACCUUCACCUUGUUGUUGGUCUUUAUUCUAGGAGGCUUCAUUGUUGCAAAAGGUGAAAGCAUGAUUUAUAUAUACCACAAUUUCUCGCAAUGACAUUUUGUAGUCUAGAUAUACUUAUUGUCGGUUGCGGAAAAUCAGUUGCUCCAUGCUUGGAUCUGUCUUGGCUGCUUUAUUUGUAGCAAUAUAAUUGAAUUGCUAACCAAUUUUAUGGAAAUGUAAUUCAUAGAUGACAUCAAGAAUUGGAUGAUAUGGGGUUACUAUGUUUCUCCUAUGAUGUAUGGACAAAAUGCCAUUGCCAUCAACGAGUUUCUUUCUGAAAGAUGGAGCAACGUAAGACCUCCUGAUAAUUGCCUCUAAAUGUGUACAUUCUUUCCAAGAUCUGUAAAGCUAGAGGAUACUCUAUAUUGAUUUUGAUCGUGGUUCUUAAUUUUCAUUCUACAGCCCUCCAAUGGCUCUGAACCUACAGUUGGAAAGACACUUCUAAAGGACAGAGGUCUAUUUACCACUGAAACUUGGUACUGGAUUGGUGUAGGAGCUCUUUUCGCUUUCUCCUUGUUGUUCAAUGUUCUUUUUAUUGGAGCAUUGACAUUUUUAAAUCGUGAGUACAAUAGUCCACCUUGUUAUCUUACAUUUGUCAUCUAUCAUUCUAUACUAUAUGAUACAAGAAGUUCAUGUUUUAAUACGUGAUACGACUUAAUUAUCAGCAAUUGGAGAUACUAAAGCUGUUCUUGUUGAGGACGAUGAUGAGAAAAAGACUAGAAAUGAAGCAUCCAAUUCUGCAGGUUUGUGGUCUAUUAAACUGCUCCUUUUUGUAUAUGUAAGUAAAUUUUGUAAAAAUCAUUGGAUUAGCUUGUCUCCCUCUUUAAAAUAAGCUUGAACAACUGUAAAACAUCAAAUGUUAAAAGUUCUCCAAUUCAAUACUCAUUUCCACAGAACUUAAUCGGAGGAUUUGGCACCAAAAUGUAUGGAAAAAAGGUGUUCACAUCAGUUACCAUAUUUUACAGUUUAAGAAGCAAAAGAAUUUUUGAUACUUUCUUUCGUUCGUAGCAUUGUCAUGGAUGUUAGUAAAGGGAAUAGGCUAAGAAUUUAACACUCCAAGCUUAAAGCACCACUGAAUAAAUUCCUCUUUUCAAGGCUUUCAGUUAUUAAAAAUAAUUCAGGGCCAAAUAAAUGUGUUUCUCAUACGCUGUCAUUGCUACAGGAAUUCAAAUGGGUGUAAGAAAUUCUCAGGCAAAUGGCAACUCAAUGGUUAGUGCAACAAACAAUCAAGCAACUAGAGGAAUGGUUUUGCCCUUCCAACCGCUCUCACUUGCAUUCAAUCAUGUGAAGUACUACGUGGACAUGCCUGCAGUAAGUCUCGUCCAUCCCUGUCCUUAAUUUUGUGAAAUUGCCCACAUCUCAUUUCUGUGGUCAGACUCUCUGAAAUUUUGCAUAGGAAACAAACAUAAUAUUGUUACUAUUUUUCUAACUUGGAAAUUUGAUUCAUAUCAGGAAAUGAAGUCACAAGGGAUUGAAGAAGAUAGAUUGCAACUUCUGAGAGAUGUUAGUGGUGCUUUCAGGCCUGGCGUUUUAACAGCACUGGUGGGUGUCAGUGGUGCUGGAAAGACCACAUUGAUGGAUGUCUUAGCAGGUAGAAAGACAGGUGGCUACAUUGAAGGAAGCAUAAGCAUUUCAGGCUACCCAAAGAACCAAGAAACUUUUGCCCGAGUUAGUGGUUACUGUGAGCAGAAUGAUAUACACUCUCCUUAUGUAACUGUUUAUGAAUCGCUCCUCUAUUCUGCCUGGCUGCGGCUUGCUUCUGAUGUAAAGACAGAAACUCGAAAGGUAAGCAUAGUAAUUACUAGAAUUAUUACCUUUGACUCAUUGAUACACUGGUGCAUUAAUGUGCAUGCCUUUAAAUCAACAACGCUUUCUAUGUAACUUGCUGAAGUUUCAUUUUCUUUCUUACUACAGAUGUUUGUUCAAGAAGUCAUGGACUUGGUUGAGCUCAAUGCUCUGAGGGACGCUCUUGUUGGACUUCCAGGAGUGGACGGCCUUUCAACCGAGCAGAGAAAGAGACUUACAAUUGCUGUUGAAUUAGUUGCUAAUCCUUCCAUCAUCUUUAUGGAUGAGCCCACUUCAGGACUUGAUGCUAGAGCUGCUGCAAUUGUCAUGCGUACUGUCAGAAAUACAGUGGAUACUGGUAGAACUGUGGUCUGCACAAUUCACCAACCAAGCAUUGAUAUAUUUGAAGCUUUUGACGAGGUACACUUAAUUGUCAUUUUUCUUACACUAGAUAUUUUUGGGCACUCAGCAUUCUUUAACACCAUUCUUAUACCUGCAGCUGCUCUUGAUGAAGAGAGGAGGACAAGUGAUAUAUGCUGGACCUCUUGGUCGCCAUUCUCACAAACUCGUUGAAUAUUUUGAGGUGAGGUUCUGCUCCUAUUGCAUUAUUGCUUGGUUGCAAACACACUGUCUGUGCACUAGAAUUGAAAUCCUACCCAACUUGCAGGCUGUACCUGGUGUUCCCAAGAUAAAAGAGGGUCACAAUCCAGCUACCUGGAUGUUGGAUGUCAGCACCUCAGCAAUGGAGGCUCAACUUGGAGUCGAUUUUGCAGAAAUAUAUGCCAACUCUGAUCUCUACAGGUUAAAGAAGGGUUAACUUAUACAGCGUAGAAAGUUUUCAAGAAUCAAAUGUCUCUAUAUGUGCUGCAAGAUCAUUGACCUGUUACUUCGUUUACGUUUCCAGGAGGAAUCAGGAGCUAAUAAAGGAACUGAGCGCUCCUGAACCGGGUUCCAGGGAUCUAUACUUCCCCACCCAAUACUCUCAGUCCUUUUUAGUUCAGUGCAAGGCUUGUUUUUGGAAACAACACUGGUCAUAUUGGAGGAACUCACAAUAUAAUGCAAUUAGAUUCUUCAUGACUGUUGUCAUUGGAAUUAUGUUUGGCGUUAUCUUUUGGGACAAAGGAACUAAAAUGUAAGUCCAAAUUUUCCUUAUCUCGCAACCUUGAAUGAUAAAAGAGCCUACUCAAUUCAGUUACAUAAUGCUAACAUUAGCUUCAAUACUGUGCAUCUGUUAACAGAUUUAGACAACAAGACUUGCUUAACUUACUCGGAGCUACUUAUGCUGCUGUUCUUUUCCUUGGAGCAACCAAUGCUUCUGCCGUGCAGUCUGUUGUGGCGAUUGAGAGAACAGUUUUUUACCGUGAAAGAGCAGCAGGAAUGUACUCUGAGUUGCCUUACGCAUUUGCUCAGGUAAAGCAUUCAGAUCCCUUUUUGCCUGUCUACUUGUCACAUUAUCAUUUUCUACUCGCAAAUCAAAUAAAACCUUCCAGUUCUAACAUCCCUUGUGUAUCUUACAAUUGCAGGUUGCAAUUGAAACUAUUUAUGUUGCAAUUCAAACUCUGGUUUAUACACUUCUUUUGUACUCGAUGAUUGGAUUCGACUGGACUGCCGAGAAGUUCUUGUAUUUCUACUACUUCAUCUUCAUGUGCUAUGCCUACUUCUCAAUGUACGGGAUGAUGGUUGUUGCAUUGACUCCUGGCCAUCAAAUUGCUGCUAUUGUCAUGUCCUUCUUCUUGAGUUUCUGGAAUCUGUUUUCUGGUUUUCUCAUCCCGCGUCCGGUGCGUGAAAUGCUAAGCUAUAUUUACCUUCCACUCCACACAUGAAGCUCCAAAUUGUACUGUACUGUUCCAUUGAAUUCUUGACUGACCAUACCACCAUUUUGUGUUAAAACAAUUUGCAGCUUAUUCCAGUAUGGUGGAGGUGGUACUACUGGUGCUCUCCUGUUGCAUGGUCAAUUUAUGGCAUUUUUGCAUCUCAAAUUGCUGACAGAACAACUGGUAUUGAAGUCCCUGGUAGUGACACAAAAGUUCCAAUCAACCAAUUCCUUAAAGAAUACUUGGGCUAUGACCAUGACUUCCUCAUUCCAGUGGUCUUUGCCCACGUCGGUUGGGUCCUCCUCUUCUUCUUCGUCUUCGCUUAUGGCAUCAAGUUCCUGAACUUCCAAAGAAGAUGAUCACUUCUCAGUUCACAUGCGGAGUAUUUCUUUAGGUUUAUAGACCAAUUGUAUAUCUUUGUAGCUAAGCAUAUAGGACCAGCGAUCUUUCUCUCUUUGUUUAUAGGUGUCUUUAGAAAACUCCGACCAAUAGUCCAAUAUUCCCAUUUGAGCGCAAUAUAGCUGCAAGAACGGCUCAUAUGAUACGAGUCCUUAAAGGUACAAGUAUAAUACGAGACGGGUAUAGUAUGUGACAUAAUAUGUAUGUAUUGUAUGAUUUUUUUCAAGAGUAUAAUUAAAAGUUUAGCGUAAAAAUAUUGGCAAAAUUAUGUAUUAUAUACACGCAUGUGUAUGUGAAUUCAUACGUAAAUAAUAUGAAUAUAAUUGAAAGUUACGCAAGUCAAAGAAUAGAUAAAAUUACUGUGAUUUUCAAAUAUUUUACGAUUACAUUGAUACUAAUUUUAACUCUUAUAGAUUUUACUACAUUAGUACUAAUUUUAACUCUUAUCCUCGUGUAUAAAACGUAAAUUUAUUAAAAUGUUAUCAUUUUAGUUCUUCUAAUGUGUAAAUUUGCAUCAUAUACAAUACAUGUCAUUAUUACUUUGUAUAAAAUUCGGAAUUUAUAUAUCAUUAGUUUUACCUAAAUUUGAAAAUUUUUCCAAAAAAAAUUGAAGUAUAAUACGUUAAAAAUUUAUUAUGUGCUUCAUACAAUUAGUUAAACAAAUGUAAAUAUUUUUUAGAGUAUUUUUGAAAUACACAAAAUAUACAUAUUGUUUUUAAAACAAAUUAUACGUACAAUCGGAUAUUAUACUCGUAUGUAAUAAAGAGGAUUCACUAAUUAUGAUCCCCAAAACGCAACCCGCCGGUUUUAUAGUAAAUUCGUCCAUCCCACAAACUUGUCAAGUAAGAAAGAUAAAAGUAAAACUAAGCGAAAUAGCAAAUGCAAAGAGUUAAAUGCUGGCCUUGUUUGGAUUGUCGGUUUCCGUCGAAAAAUUACGUCGUUUUUCGUGAUCACAUUUCCCUAUUACCUUUUUCCCUCACAUACAUCAAAUCGCUACAGUAAUUUUUCCAUGAAAAAUCACCAAAAAUGCAAUCCAAACACAACCUAAAUCGAAAGCAUCUGAGUACUAAAAGUUAAUGAACCAGAAAGUUUGCAGUAAAGACGGUCCAUUCAACUGAAAACACAAUCUAUUUCGUCUUCAUAGACCUUUCCUCCACGGUUAAACCUAAUAUAGUAACUAGAGUAUCCAAAAGUUCCAUCCAAUUUGAGGUGAUGUUCUAAAAUGCCAAGUCAAAAGAUCCAUCAACUUUAAUCCUCAUCAUCAUCCCAAAAAGAGUGACUACAUAUAAGAAAGCAGCACUGGCGACAAGCAACAAAACGA
rnacentral:lncRNA from 1 species